AAUCUAGUUGGUUAAUUACAAAAUUUUAUAAUUUGGAUGGUAAAUAUAAAAUUUUUAAUAUUUAGAUGGUUAUUUGCAUAUAGGUGAAAGUUGAGAUGAUUCUUAUUUAUUUAGCCCAUUUAUGAAACAAUUGAACUAUGCAUUAGCCAAUCAAAAAAUUUCACAUUAUGCAUGCCGAUAUACUAGCGGUACACUAGAACAAUAUUAUGAGACUUGAAUACUAUAUAUGCAUUUAGCGGUACUCAUUUAUACGGGAAGUAAUAUUAGCUUUAAUACCAAUUAUUGAAUCCGGUGUUCACACUAAUACCACUUUUAAAGCCUAAUAUCAUAAAUACUGAAUACCAAAUUAUAGUAAAAAAUAUGUAGAAGAGAUUCUAGAGGAGGAAGAUCCCUAAGCAAUAAAAUGUUAGUAUUUAUUUAAUUUAAGUGAUUUAAAACUUUCUUUCGGCCCAUGGGCUUUCCGGUGGCCCAACAAUAAAUAACGCCUACUUGGGAGCCCGGUGCAUAACCUACUACAUGUAAGUUUAGUUCCACAUUAGAAAUUUAUGACACAUAGCAGUGCCUUAUAUACUCCAUCAUCCUGAAACUAGUUGUUUGUGAUAAUGAGAUUAGUAUCAUCCACAAAUCACACGCGCGUGCGCACAAGUCAGUCGGCGGCGCGGUCUUGGCUACCUGGUAGGAGCAUAAUGCGAGCCGGCCCGGCACCGCCACCCGGGCCAAACUCGGGCUGGGCUGUGCCGGGCCAAAUUUUAUGAAUGCCCUGCCCUCCGGCCCGAAUGGCACAGGCUUUUUCGGGUCAACACAUUAAUUUUUUUUUAAUUUUUUUAAAAAUAUACAUGAUAUUUAAAAAAUAAAAAUAAUUAAAAUGGUUUUCUUUUAUAAUAUGUUUGCCGAAGAAAUAAAUUUUAUUAAAAUAUUUAUAAAGUAAAAUUUUUAAAUAAUUUAAAAAUUUUAUAAAAUUUUUAAAUUUUAGAAAAACUCUUUUUGUAGAAUCUAGGCCAUUUUUUUUCUUACCCUUGGGAGUUGGGGUGCCAGGUUUGCUCCCGAAGUCCCAAGAUCCAGUUUGGGGAGUUAGGCAUGGCUACCCAACCCUCCAAGGGCCACAGGAGUCCCAAGGCUGAGUCGUGCCGACACAUUAGGCACGGGUCAUGUCGUGUUGGGUUGCAGGCCUAACUGUUGGCCUAACACGGUCCGCCAUGCCGUGUCGAGUUGACGGGUUCAGUUGGAGCGGCGCAGCACGACCCGUGAUGCUGGCUCAGGCUGGCCCGACAAAAGUUCUACGGUACCCGUGCGGGCCGUGCCUGGCCCGGCCCCUUUUUCAUCCCUACUACCUAGAGAGACUGCUGAAAGAGUUCGUUGGACCCUACCUCCUAUUAGAUGUCGACACGGUUAUUCUCAUUGGCUCCUAUCUGUAUAUAGGAGAGGGUGCAUUGCUGGUAAUUUGAGAGUUUUAUAUCUUCUUACUCAUUGGCUGUAUCUCUGAAAGUCUAUUUGAUUUUACAUAUCUUUUUCGUGGAUUUAGAAGUCUAUUUUAUUUUACAUAUUUCUUCUUGGAUUCCUGAAAGUCUAUUUAGUUUCUCGCAUGUAGAGGAGUAAUCUUCUAUUAUUAAUUCUUGCAUGCGUUUCUAAAUAGUUGUUUAAACUUUGUGAUUAAAAAAUAUUUUAAAAAGAGAUAUAUUUUUGCUAAAAGAAAGACAGAUUUUUCUAAUGUAAAAUAUUUUUGUUAGAAAAACAAAUCUUACACAACCUGGCUCUUCAAAACCACGCACACGUAGUUAUAAGAGAGGCUCACUCCGAAUUAGAUUUGGUCUAGCACCUGCUGUACAAGCUUAUAUAUACCUUUUCCUGAUUAACCAAGUUAAAAUUAGGUACUUACAUAAACAUAAAAUUCUAAACAUAAUAUAUUGAACUCUAAUUUGGAUAAACUUUAUCUGCAACCAAAUGUUUGAGUAAGUUUCGGUUACUAUUUUCAAAAUACUCCCUUAAUUCAAACUUUUCCUUUAAACCGUAGAGUACUUGAAAUGCGGUUGGAUUUCUCAAUCCCUCUCGCAGUAUAGGUUUUGCCCAUUCAAUGAUCUCGCCAUUCAUAAAAUCUCAGUUAACCGAGUUUCCUUCCUGAGCUACAAAACUGGAUUAAUUUGAUGCAAUACCUGGUACAAAAGUUGACUCUUUAUUAUAAAAGAGGUCAUAUUAAUUGAAUCUGGGCACAAAAUCGAAUUAACAAUAUCUUUCAGAAAACGAAAUCGAAGAUUUUAAUGUUGACCAUGAGUCCAAGAUGGGCUAAGGAUUUUAAACUUUGAGAUCAAAUGUAUGAGCGAGCUGGUAUCCUUCUGGAAGCACGGAGUCUUCCGUGCUUCCAAGUCGUUUUCGAUGUUGGACUUUUGAAUUGACGAUCUAAAAUUUAGAGUUGAUCUAGAGUAUUUGAAAUACCCAGAAAAUAAAUUUUGUGAUUUUCGAUAUCAUUUGCCUAGUGAUCGAAGGGGCUCAAAAUCAACAAUUUUAAUGGUCGUGGUAAGCCGUUUGCAAGUUUAACGGCGUAGAAAUAUCCAAAACAAGUAAAAUUUUGAUAGAAAAUUCUUUAUACUAUAUAAAACAAGUUCAAUAACUUUGAUCUAAAAUUUUAAUGUCAUAUCAUUAUAUUUUGUAAGAUUUUUAUUUUCAGCCGUUGAUUUUGAGCCCCUUCGAUCAUUAGGCAAAUGAUAUUGAAAAAUCACAAAAUUUAUUUUCUAGAUACUUUAAAUACUCUAAAUCAAGUCUAACGAAGCCGAUCGUCGAUUCGAAAGUCCGAAUAUCGAAAAUGAAUUGAAAGCACGGAGCGCUCCGUCCUUCCAGAAGCAUACCAGACGCACUCCAAAUGUAUACCAAAUAAACUUAUUUAGACUACUAUUUAAUUUUCUAGGAGUAAUUAAUUAACAAGAGUUAUGUGAGAUUUUAUUCCCAUUUGACGGACAGGCCCCCAAUGGAGGCCUAUCUCUCAUAUUGACAUAAAUGGUCUGGGCCUUCUUAAUUUCUCGAUCUCUCUUUCUCUAACAUCACACACUCGAGCACAAAGAGGUGGGUGGAGAAGUUGUAGAACUUCUUACUAGUUCUAAUUUAUUCAGUUUUAAUCAACAAUUUAAAAAUCGGGUCGAAUUGGUUGGUUUGAUUUGGUACAUGCAUAACUCAGCCUAUAAAAUGAGCUGGAUAAGUCAAAAAUUCGUUUUGAAUUAUUCGAACCGGCGGUUCAACUAUUGAAUUGGUCAAUCGGUCUCGUUUUAAUCAAAUAGCUUAAAAUCAAGCUAGCUAAUUUUAUUUUCUGUUAGCAUAAAUUAGCAUUAAUGUAACGACCAAGCCCAUUAGCAACAAUAACUCGAUGGGCCCAAACACCGGUCCAAAAUGUUUAAGCUCAAUUAUUAUUACAAGUGUCUAAGUCUCUUAUAUACUUAAUAACAAUUUUAUUCCCAUCCGAUGAACUUUGAAAAACUUACACCUACUUAAUGUCGUCUAGAUAUCAAUAUUUUAUAAUUAAGUACGAUACGAUAUUAGACAACACAAAAAUAAACACACACACACACACACAUAGUUCUCCCUGUAAACAAGUUAUGAUAUAUGAGUAGUGUUUACUAUCAACUUUUUUAUCCUUGAAUUAUUACAAUUCUAUCAAUACUUACUAAACCGUAGGUAUCCAAUGGUUCGAAAGUUGAUAAUAAAUACUAUUUCUAUAGUAUUCUAGUUACAGAAUUAUCAAAGGGUCACAAAAUUUGUAUUUUAAUGGUUAGUAAGACAAUUUUGCUUGUUUCACGGUAUCGAAGAAUUCAAAUCAACUAAUUUUUUGCUAGAAAAUUCUUUCAAUUAUUUAAAAUAAAAUCUAGACUGCAGAUCUUAUUUACGAAAGUUGUAUCAUAACAUCUUGAAGAAUAUUCAUUUUCAGCUAUUCAUUUUUUGUUCACUAGAUGGAAAAUAGAAUAAUAUCAGAAAAACAUAAAAUUUUCAAAAGUUUAAAUAUUCAAGGUCAUGUUCAACGGUGUCGAUCGUCGAUUUGGAAGCUCUAUUAUCAAAAACAAAUCAGUAUUAAAUUGAGCCUUUUACUAUGGAUAGCAUUUUAAUAAAUCUCUCUCUCUCUCUCUCUCUCUCUCUCUCUCUUAUAUAUAUAGAGAGAGAGAGCCCAGCUAUGGUGCUUCUAAAAGUACCAAGCACUUUGUGCUUAUAAGUUUUCCACCGUUAGAUCUAUCCCUUUGACCAAAUCUAUUCCUUAGAUUAUGCUAAUCCACCAACCACCUGCUUAACCCUAGAGGAUCACUGUUAUCAUAAUACUAUAAAUCUUCAUCCAAGGGCAAAAAACCUACAAGUACCAAUAACUUGAUGCUUUUUUAAGCAUUGGAGCUCAAUUAUAUAUAUAGGCUCCUAUACUAUUUAUAGUAUCGGGCCUUAGUACUAAUGUCUGAUCAUUUUCAAACUUAAAAUGUUCAAAUCAACGAUUCAUACCGUUAAAAUUGACUUACGUUAUUUGAAGUUUUAAGAAAUAAAAUUUUAUAUUUUUUUGACACAAUUUACUCUAUGAUCAAAUUAUUUUAAAAUUAUCAAUUUUCAAUGGCUAGCUAGUAUGGCGAGUUUGAAGUUCAAAAGGUGUAGAAGAAUCUAAAUUUAUUCAAACUUUGAUAGAAAAUAUUUUAAACUAUCUAAUUGAUCUUGAAUUUAAAAGUUCUAUCCUUAAAUUUUAAAAAAUUUUAAGCGUUCAUUUUGACAUGAUUUACUUACUAAGUAAACGAUGUCGAAAAAAAUUAAAAGAUAUUCUUAAGAACCUCAUAUACCCUACAUCAUAUUUAAUGGUAUGGAUCGUUGAUUUGAACAUCCUAAGAUCAAAAACCAAACUACAGUACCGGAGCUCCGAUACUAUAAAUAGUAUAGUAACCUAUAUAUAUAUAUAUAUAGAGAGAGAGAGAGAGUAGGGCUACUGUGCUCCUAACCUCCUAAUCAUCCAUCAAUGUUGCUGAAUGGUUAGGAUGAGAGAGAGAAGAAAAAUUGGUGAGAAAUUCAAAGAGAAGAAAAAUUGAGACACUAAUUUCUCCUCAAUUUUUUUUCUCUCUCUUACCGAACUAUCCAUCAAAAUUGAUAAAGUACACAUCACAAUUAGCAUAUAUUUGUGCAUACAAUUAUUUUAAUAGUUAUAUCUAAUUAACAUAUAUUUGUACAUUAUAUUUAUCUAAAAAGUUAUAAUCAAUAUUUAAAUUUUAGAUAAAAUAAUUUAUAUGUUAUAUUUUAUUAGAAAAUAUUCAUCAUAUUCUAACACAAAUUUAAAUAGUUAUUGCAUAUAAUAAUUGUAUAGUUUUAUUUAUUUCUUUUUAUAUACAAUGAAUAUUUUUGUACAUUAAUAUAAUUUAAUUUUUAAUACAUAUUAAAUAUUUCUGUAUUUUUUUCGAGUUCUAACGAAUUCAAAAUUUAAGUAUGCCUUUUAAACUAAAAGCAUUAAAAUUUUAAGUCACAUUUAAUUCAAAAUUUUAAAUUUAAUUUUGAUCCACUUAAUUAAAUUUUUUUAAUUGUUAAUUCAAAUUUGAUAUCUAAUUGAAAUUUAAUUAAUGAUUUAAACUCAAAUUUUAUUUUAAUUUAAAAAUUUAUAAUUAACCUCGAGGUCCUACAGUUGCAUGCUCGUUGUCGCUCAUGUUGCUACGGUUGCGCACACCAACAUUGUGACCUUGCAUGGCAGCGUCCUAGUUCGUGUUCUAGUUCUCUCUCCGACCGCCAGUCAUGUCUUCCGAAAGAACCGCUCCAAGGGUCAAGCUAGCUCUGAUACUCACUAAAGCAGGCCUAAAUUAUGUUGAGAGGGAAGAAGCAAAAGAACGGAAAGAGAUGAUACACAAAGAAAUCAAUUCUUCGACAAUGACGAAAGUCAUAUUAAUCAAUUCUAAAAACUCUCAUUACAGUAACUAAACGCCACCUUUAUACAGAGGCGAAAAUCGAAUGUUACUACAAUUGAAAUAACAAAUUCAAGUAUUUUCCUAAAUCCAACCAGAUUUGAAAUAAUUUAAUAAUCGAACUAAAAAUAAAAUAUAUAUAUAUAUAUAUAUAUAUAUAUAUAUAUAUAAUUAACUGUCCAAAAAUAACUCUACAUGUCAAAAUGGAACAAAAAAAUAAAACAAUGGAAAACACCCAGGCAAGGUUGAACAACUGAGGGAUCCCAGGCAACCGCAGGAGAGCGGACUGCAAGAGCCGAGUACCAAGUGCCGAAGAGAUUAAUCGAAUUCAACCGUUCCGAUUCAACCGAAUGUUCCAAGUUUCUAAACUCAACCGAAUUUUCGACCCAAUUUAGUUAAGUAGCGUUUUUCUAGAACUCACCGCAUCACUUGCUAUCACUAAUUAGGAGCGUUCUAUCCUUUUUCUAAUGUAUUAGAUUCUGAGGUCGAAUCCUUCGGUAUGCCAGAAAAAAGAAAAAAAGGAAAGAAAAGAAAGAGUAGGUGCGUGUGAUCUCCGGGCACUUCAACAGCAAAAACGAAAAACUCCUUGAGGUACAUGAGAAUAUUCCACAAAGUUUAAUUACGUAACCGGAGCCUAGCUAGAUACAAUUGAACCUACCAACAAAUAAUGGUGAUGGAUGCAAUUGUAACCUUGGGUGGUUGCACGUACAUUCGAACACACUAGCUGCAUUAAUUACCCAAUCACUACUAUUAUACGAGACGUCUAUAAGCCAAAAAAAGAAAAAGGACAAUAGGAUUGUAUCGUAUAUAUCAGGUAAUUGAUAAUUCUCUAGGCUUUUUUAGGUUCGGAUAUAAAUAAAACUGUCUAUUCCAGAGAUAGAAAUAAGUUAAAGUAUAAAUCUGAAAUAGGCUAAUUUUACGUUUGGAUGAAAAUUGAGUCGAUCCUGAAAAUAAAAAAAAAUAGUAUUUGGAUGGAUAAGAUGGAAUAAGAAGAACAGUGAAUAGUUUUAAAUAGAAAAUAAUGAUAUUGCCCCUUAUAUUUAUAUUUGAAUUUAAAAUUUAAAAUUUUCUAUCUAAACUUUUAAAUUUAAAUAUAUAACUUUUAAAUUUCAAAAUUUUAAAAUUUAAAUUUAAAUUUUUAAAUCUCAAAAUUAAAAAUUUAAAGUUCUAAAUUUUAUAUUUUAAAUUUAAGAUUAAAUUUAAAUUUAAAAAUAUCAAAUAUCAAAUUAAAAUUUAAAAUAUUUGAAAUAUUAAUUUAAAAUAUAAAAUACCAAUUUAAAAUUUAAAUUUAAAUUUUAAAAUUACAAAUUAUAAAUUUUUAAUAUUUAAAUUUUAAAUUUUAAAUUUUAAAAAUUAAAUAGGGAUGAGAACUGCUGUUUCCGCUUCUAUUCCCACAAGCGGUCGGUAUCCCCCUUUAACCCCCAACCAAACGGCCUUUAGAAAAAUACCAAGUCUACAACCAAGAAGGGUUGUAAUCUCAACAAGCCCUUUGCCAAGGACAUUUACCAAACCAAAGAAGGGUUGUAAUCUCAACAAUCUCUCAUCCAAGGACAUUUACCAAACAAUAUUGUGAGCGGAGCAAAUUAUUUUUAAAUUUUUUUUAAGGGUUUGGAUAUAAAAUAGCUCUUUAUCUCAUAAAUAUUUUCUAACCAGUUUAAGUUUACUAAAGUUUUAUAUGGCUAAUUGUAGGAUUGCUAUACAUUAGGGAUGUCAAUAUGUACGGAAACCCAAAAUUCUAUCCAAACCUGAAUCUGAAUGGAGUAGAUUUAUUUGAUGCUAAACAGAUAUAGUUUUGGAUACAAAUAUAGAAUACUGAUUUCUGUUACUUGUGUGCGUGCGACCGCGAGGACGGAAUUGAGGUAAAUCCGUUUUGGUGCGAAAUUGACGUGAAAACAGAUAAAAUAGGCCAAUUGUUCAUGAAAAAGGCUAAAUUGCAAUUAGAAAAUAAAUUGGACUAAGACACAAAAGUGAGCAUCUUCGUGGAAUUCCAUUAAGAGAAGAUUUUUUUCUCUCUUCUUUCUUAUCCUUUUUCUUCUCUCUCUCUCAAAUUUUGUAAGAGAAAGAAAAGAAAGAGGAAGCAAAAGAAAAAGAGAAAGAAGAAGAAGAGGUAAAUUCUUUAUCCUCUUUUCUUUUCCUUUCCUAUCUUUCCUUCUUCUCCCCUUCUUUCUCUUCUUUUCUCUUUUUCCUUCCUUUCUUUUCCUUGCUGUUGCAGCUACUGCAGUUUACUGCUGCAAUAGCAGCAGGCUACUGCUGUGCCCUGCAGCAGCAGCAAGUUUGGGACAGCAAAGAAGAAAAAAAAAAGAAGAGAGAGAAAUGAGAGGAAGAGAAGGAGAAAGGAGAAGAAGAAAAAGAAAAGAGAGAAGAAAAGAAGAAAAGAAAAGGAAGAGAGAAAAAAAUGAAAGAGGGAAAAUGAAAUGAAACGAUUGAAGCAAUUGGUGUAUUUCGCAUCUCUAACCUUCAAAUUGGCGCUUGCAGGGUAUUCAGGAGCGUGAAUUAGAGUGUAUUACGCAUCUGGUUAGUUUCAAUUUAAGAUAAUUGACGUUCAAUUAGCAUGAUUUACGCUCGAUUAGAAAUUUUGCCUUUUGAUUGUAAUUCUGAAGGUUUUAUUGUGCUUAGUGUUUCCGGGCGAUUGUGAGUCCAUGAAAAACACAUGAGUGUUUUGCUUGCCCUAGUCGACAUAACGAGUCGAAGUGGGUUCCAAGUCGUCGAAAAUGGCAAAUUUCCUCCUAUAUCUAUUUGGCACAAGAUAUACAGUACUUGAAUUCGUGCAUAUGAAAUACCUUCUGUCGAUCCUCAUUUAGUUAAAAUUGAAGUAUGAACAUGAAACUUAGCAUUGACACCUGACUAUGAGCAGAAGUCUACAUAUGAAUAGGAAUUAGUACCCUGUCUGAUGUGACCGUAUAUAGUAUUUGAAGCAUAUUAUAUGACUGUUCUCACUCUUUCUUGCAUUGAUUCUCCUAUGCAUUACAGGAUCUCUUUGGACACGUUGAGACAUGUGUGACUAGCUCCUUUAGACAUUUUGUGUUGAAUUGAGUUGAUCAUAGUAGGAGUAGUAGUUUCCUAAUUAUGGACUAUAACCAACAGAUGCCACCUUGAGUUGACAGGUUAUGUGCUAUGUCGGUAGGGGUCGCUUCCCUCGAGUGCCACUCCAGAUGCUGGUCAGUGAUAGUAGGGACAGUAGCCUAGCCGUCACACCUGCGGGAGUGUGUCUGCGCACUAGGCGGGCGCAGGGACCAAACCUAUGAGUCGGUCAUGGCGAUUGGAUUUCAUAACAGUAUUUCUUUAUUCUUGUGCACUGGAAUAGCCAUGUAGAAAUGACAUGGCAUAUAAAAUUGGAAUAGUAUAACUGCAUAUGAUAUUCUAUCCUUAUGUCUCUAUUAGUAACCCGUGCAUUGCUUUCCUAUUUACUAUGUGUAGCGAAUACCUAGAAUACUACUCAACAGUAGUUGAGUUCUUGUUGGUUCUAUGCAUUUAGUCCAGUGUUUACUUUUCUACAUGUGGAUUUCUUACUUUACACCAUGCUGCAGCUUUGCUCUAUAUUCUUUUCCUAGUUACCGCUCUUCCAUUUACUUUUGCUCAUUUAGAUCUAGUGGGAAGGUCAUUGUUGUCGUCGACCGUACCCACUGGAAACUGCUAUUAGUAGUUCUCACGCAUUAUUGUGGUCUCCUUUUUCAGUGACAGGCACAUCGUAUGCUGAGCAAAGUAAGGGGAUUGGCCUAGUUAGCCAUCCUACCAACAUACUUGCCUGUAGCGAACCUCCAGAUAGUGAGCCACUGUACUUUCUUUUGAACUAGCGCAAGUCAGGGCCAGUAACUUGUACUUGGUUUUGGGUGUGGACUUAUGUAUUUUGUUACUUGUUUCUUUGUGUAUAGUGGUUUAGCUAAUGUAUAGUGCUAUGAUACUUCGCUUUUGGUUUUCUUCUGAUUUUGUUGAUUCUUAUACCGUGGAAUAGUUGGCUAAACAUUUUCUUGUUUUACUUGGGUUUUUCCUUGUUCUUGUUGCCGUUUCAUUCAGAUAGAGAAAAUUAUGUCCGUUUGGCGGGUCUAUUAGCAUUCCGUGGGCUUUCGCUACGACUUCGGGGCGUGACAGAUUUGGGUGGUAUGAGAGCAUAGGAAUAGGUCGUGUGGACCUAGAAACCUUAGGAUUUGGUGAACCCUAGGGUUUAAGACGCGAGAAGCGUGACUUAUUGGCGAAAGUCACUAGAUUAGCAUAAACUCUUUAAGGAAAUUAAAGAGUGAUUGAAGGGACGUACCCUUUCCUCCUGAAUUAUUAUGUUGGCUGCAGACAACAUAAUAUACCAGAAAAUAGGAGAGUUCUUUCUGGACUUUCGCUUGAUUGGGUCGAGUUCCUUCCGACGAUGUCACUAACCUAUGCUUUUACUUUCUCUAGGUAAGCACUAUGCCUCGAUGAGGACGACCUCCACUGUUGGCAUCGGGUGGACACUCCCAUAGGCGAUCACCGACACGGGCCCACCCAACACCACCUAAGAUGCCUGAUUAGGCGGGACCCAGUGAGAGCCAGAGGUUGCAUGAGCAGUUGGUUAGCCUGAUUGAGACUACGAGACAGGAGAGAGAGUAUAUCUGCAGGUUAUGUGACAUGUGGGCUCAACAGACGGGUACAUCCCCAUGUGACUUGGAGCAAGUCGUGCACCUAUUGACUGCACAGACUACUACAUCGACGGUUCCGACUCCCUCGACAGGGACCACUUAUACUCCAUCGACUAUGCAAACUGCAUGAGACUGCUACAGUGGCACCUACUAUUACUCCUGAAGUAUCUGCAGUCGCACGAGACACAGCUGAGGUAGGGCAUGAGCGGCUUCGGUUGAGGUUGGCUGAGUACAGAAGGUUCGAUCCACCUUAUUUUAGUGGGUCGAGCGCCAAGCCAGGGGCCGUGGAGCCUUAGGUGCGAAGGAUGGAGCGCAGAUUUGAGGAUCUCUUUAUUCCCAAAAGAGAUCAGAUGCACUUAAUAGUUCAUUGCCUUGAGAGAGACGCACGUGACUGGUGGACGAGGGCUAGAAGGACUAGACCUGAGGGUGCCCCACCGGUGACUUGGAUGGAGUUUCGCAGCAUGCUCUUUGACAUGUAUUUUUCUAGUAGUGCGAAGGAAAGAAUGGAGGAUGAAUUAAAGAAAUUGAGACAAUGGAGUCGGUCGUGUAGGAGUACUUUCAGGAGUUUACCUGCUUGUUGACAUGUAUGUCGUUCGAUGCGAGGAAUGAUCGGCAUAGUGUAGAUAUGUUUGAGAAGGGCUUGAAGCCCGAGCUCUAUCAGCUGGUACAGAUUCAACAUCUUCCUACCUUGGAGGCGUCGGUUGAGAUGUGUAGAGCGAGACGAGGUAGUGAUGAGAGAAAGAACUGAGCUAGAACAGGGUGAGGAUAGGAAGAGGCCUGUGGAGUGUGAGGCUGGGCCCUCCAGCUCAGGGAAACCGCUGAGGUAUCCACGAUCUCGUCCCCAGGGACGUGGGUCCUUUGCAGGAUGGAGGUCUAGUAGAGCCAGGCCGUCUGUUGGAGCGAGGCAGCAGCGACAGCGAUGAGGCCAGAUUCAUCGUGUGAUAUGUGAAGGUCAGCAUCAGUCAUAGACUUGUACUCAGCGGGAUGGCAGCUACUACCGUUGCAGUCAGCCGGGGCACCGAUGGGCCACUUGUACCAGAGGAGUUUCGUCUGCCCUGUCGAUGGCCUUUUUUCCUUCGACCUCUCGACAGGUAGCAACUGCAUCACCUGCAUUCAUUCCAUCAAGGCUCAGAGUGUGAUUCUUCUCUACUGAAGUGUCAACGGGUUUAUAAUAAUGCAUCCUAAAACACUCUAGAACCUUUUUAAUAUAAGAUUCUUGAUACAAACCAUAAAGCCUUCUGGAGCAAUCACGGAUGACCUGCACUUCGAGUACAUAGCUUGCCUCACCCAUUUCUUUCAUCUCAAAGUUGAGAGACAACCACUCUUUAGUGGUAUUGAUUAACUUCAUGUUAUUUUCAGCUAGUAGUAUGUCGUCGACGUAUAGGGAGAGGAAGAGGAUCUUUUCUCUGUCUUUUUGACAAAUACGCAGUGGUCUUUCUCUAUUAUAGACAUAACGAUAGAGGUGAUGGCUUCAUGAAACCUAAAAUACCACUGUCUCGAUGAAUGCUUGAAACCAUAAAUGUAUCUUCUAAGGCGACAAAUCUUAUCUUCUUGACCUUUGAGUACAAAACUCUCAGGUUGAUCCAUAUAAAUCUCCUCUGCUAAUCCUCCAUUGAGAAAAAUUGUCUUGACAUCCAUUUGGAACAACUACAAAUCUAGAUGUGCCACUAAGGUUAAAAUCAAACGUAUAGAGGCAAAUCGCACAACGGAAGCAAAUGUCUCGUUGUAAUCUACCCCUUGGCUCUGAGUAUAUCCCUUGGUCACCAGCCAAGUCUUGUAUUUAUCGAUUGACCCAUAGGCCUUGCGCUUAAUUUUUAAAACCUAUUUAUUUCCAAUAGACUUGAACCUAGGUGGAAGGUCAACCAACUCGCAUACGUAGUUCUUUCUCAUGGAGUCCAUAUCAUCUCUCAUAGCAGCUAUCCACUCACUGCAAGCUGGCAUUUGUAGUGUUUCUUUAUAAGAAGCAGAUUCAUCAUCAUUGAGCGUAGUGCACAUAGAAAUAUCUCCUUCGAUCUCAAAAUUCUGACGGGGAAUAUGUCCAUGUUCACUUCUGCAUAAUUGAGGGCCUAAGCUGCCAACUUUCAAGAGUAUGCUCUGAUUCAUGAAAGCACUCCCACUAGUCGGAGGAUCGGUACCACUUUCUUCAACGACUUCAGGAAUUGAUCAAUCACCCUCAACUGAUUGCUUGCUCUAGAGCCGAGUUUUUUGAAUCUAUAUGAGGGACUGUGAACAUAUCCAGUCGAACCCCAAGGGCCUAAAUAGUGUAAACUCGGCUUUCUACCACUCCAUAACUCAUAUGAGGUAGAAGACUGUUGAAGCAUAAAAAAAAAGGAGAGAGGAAUAAAAGAGGAAAAAGAAAAAAAAAAGAGGGGAGAGAAAGAAAUAAAAAAUAGAGAUGGUUUAUGAGAUUAUCCAUGCACCAGGUGCAUGGAUAAAAUUUAAAUUUUGAAAAUAUCUCAUGCACCGGAUUGCGAAAAAAAUAAUACGCACGGGUAUAUAAAAUAGCAUAUUAGUCUAUUCCCUUUUGUAUAUUUACAAAAUGCCCCACCUUAAUCGUAUAAUAUUUUGAUUAAGGUGUAAUAUGAUCAAAGGGAAAGGACUAAUUCGCAAUAUUCCCGCAAUCCCAUCUUAACCACCCAAUAUCUCCACGAUUCCAUCAUAACCAUCCAUUACCACACAAUCCCAUCGCUGCCAUCCAAAAUCUCUCCCACAAUCCCACGAUACUAUCGUAACAACCUAUACCCACGAUCCCAUCAUCCCACGAUCCUCAACCAUCCACGAUCCCAUAACCUACGCACGUUUUCCUCAAAUCCUGUUACAACCACCUCAAUCCCACAAUCAGCACGUUUCCCUCAAAUCCGUUGCAACCACCCCAUAAAUACCUCUCGAAAUAAAUCAAACGAGAGAGAGUUUUUUUUGAAUUUCAAAAAAAAAAUCUAGUCAAAAAAAAAAGAGAAGAAGAGAUCCACCCGAUCCCAUUGAAAGAAAAAAAAAGGUAAAAAAGAAUACAUUAUCUCUUUCUCCCGUUCAAAAAAAAAAAAUCAAAGCUCUCUCUAUCUCUCUCGCUAAAAAAAAAAGAGAAAACAAAGCUUUCGCUCUCUCGGCUAGAAAGAAAAGAAAAGAAAAGAAAAAAGAAAAAAGAGAAGCUCUUUCUCUCUCUCUCCAAUGGCGGCCGCUGCCGCUCCCGGAUGUGAUCCGACCCCGACCCGAGGCACGCUCCGAGGCCACCCGUGCCACUCCGAGACGCCUCAGUCGCCCGCUCCGAAGCUCGCCCGCGUCGCUCCGGGACGCCUCGACCCGAGGCCGUCGCUCCUCGCUGGUCUUUGCACCCGAGGCAGCGUCGCUCCUUACCGAUCCCUGCGCCGAGGCCGCGUCGCUCCUCGCCGACCUCUGGACCGCCGAAACACUCGACGUCUGUGCUACAGAGGUCGUCCGCCACGGCGCCGCUGUGCGCGCCCUCCGCAUCGCAUUACCGACCGCGGCCUGGACUUCUUCUUCGCGUCCCGCUCCCACGCUGCACGCCCAUGAGGACCAGACGACGGCGACGGUGACGGCGACGACUACGCUAGCGAUGAGGAGGAGGACGAGGACUUUGGGGAAGACCCUGGAGUUGUCCCCGCGGAGACAGCUCAUCUCCUUCCUCCACUCUACGGCGGUGCGCGGGUCGACCCACGCACACUUCACCGAACUCCGCUGAGUGCCUCGGCCGAGCUCCACCAAGCUCCACCGCUUCUCCAGCGCAUCACCUCCGAACUCCAUCGAGCCCUGUCGAACGCCAUCCACAUGUUCGAUGAAAUUCCUGAAUGAAACCAGAGAACGCCCUCUACCUGUUCGAUAAAAUUCCUGAAUGAAAGUUUAUUCUUCUGAUCAAGUUGGCGACAUAGUCCCGAUAAGAUCUUGUAAGCGGUGGUUGGCGGGUGCAAUAUGGUGCUAUUCGAGCAUCUGCGGUGAACGUAGCGGAACGGCGAUAUCUACCCGGAGCUGACGCCCGACGACCUCGUCACAACCGUAAAGACAAUGUGGCUCAAGCCAUGCCCAUCAACCAUUCGGCGAAAUACUUCAACGGUGAGUCCAAUUUGCAUAAAGAGAGAAAGAGCGGUGCUCUUCUCUAAAAAGAAAAGAGAGAUUUUAUUUCUCCGAUGAUGAAAAAAAAAGAGAGUGAGCGGUGCUCUUCUCUUUAUAAAAAAAAUAGCAUCAAAAGAGAGAAAGAAAGAAAGAGCGGUGCUCUUCUCUUUAUAAAAUACAUCAUCAUCGAAAGAAAGAGAGAGCGAUGCUCUUUUCUUUGCAAAAUAUAUAUUAUCAAAAGAGAAAGAGAUGAGAGAGCUUUGCCAUUGUUAGGGAGGCAAGGAAGGGAUUUUUUUUAUCCCGCCUUAGUUGUCCCACGAAUGUAAAAGAGAUAAAAAGAAAUUAUUCAUCUCUGUUAUAUUAUAUUUUUAAGAAAGAUAAAGAGAAAAAAAUGUAUUCUCUUAAUUCUCCUUCGAUGAAGAAAUGAAAGAAAAUUAGUCUGAUUUCUAGUGAAUAUUCUUUUGAUUGUUCUUUUAAUAGUAUUCGAAAAUAAUCGAACCCUUUAAUCGAACCUUUCGAUUUGGUCAAAUUAGAUCGAAUCAAUAUUACAUUCCGAAUGAAUUUGAUUUUGAACUAAAUGUUUAAAUAUUUUGAUUUCGAAUCUCAUAUGGACCAAACUAUAUUCAUCUCACAAGUUCAUUAAGUCCAGCCCAAACGCAAAUCUGGGCCUAAUUUCAUGAUCUGUCUAAAAGAAAAUUUGGACUUAUGCCAUCAGGCCUAAAUUAAGCCCAAGCCCAUAUGUAAUUUAAGCCCCAACAUUAUAUGGGCCUGAAUUUGACCUAUGUUUGAAUGCAAUUGUAUAAAUCCAAUGUUGGGCCAUUUUAAACCCAUGAAACUAUAUAUAGCCCGGAUCCAAAUUUUUUUUAAACAAAAAACUAUAUGGACUGGAAUCUAGCCCAAAUUCAGAUUCACAACCAAUCAAAUCUUACAUUGAACCCAAAUCCAAGUCCCGUAUUGAACCCAAAUCCAAAUCCCAUAUCAAGCCCAAAUCAAAUUGAGCCCAAGCCCAAAUGAGCCCAAAUGAGCCAUAAUGAGCCCGAAUUCAACUCCAAAUCCAAAUGAGCCCAAAUGAGCCAUAAUCUCAAUCCAAAAUGAAUUCAGCCCAUAUGAAGCCCAAAUCCAAGUCAAAAUAUGAAGCCUGAAUCCAAAUCAAAAAUAAAACCAGUCCAUGUUAAGCCUGAAUCCAAAUCAAAAAUAAAACCAGUCCAUGUUAAGCCCAAGUCUAAACUCAAUAGCCAAUCUACACACCUAACCCAUAACCUAUAACCCAAUCCAAUUAAAUCUAGGCCUAGUCCAAAGCCCAGAGCCCAUUUACAAAUGGCCCCNAAUAAUCAAUCUACACGUCUAACCCAAACCUAACCCAAUUAUUCAUUCCAAUUUGAUCCAAGCUGAACCUAAUCUAAUCUCAACCUAAUCUAACCUCUUCUCUAGCAUAUAUAACUAGAGCUAAAUCUUGACAUAUUCAAACUCGAUCAAAUUCUAAAAUAUUUGAUUAGAAUUGAUCAAACCAUAUACAAGGUUUCACCCGAUCAAAUCAAUUGAGCUCUAAUAUAUAUACUUAGAGUUCAUUAAAUUAAACUCUAAUACAUACACUUAGAGUUUAAACUUUAACUAAUCCUAACUUAUAACAUUAGGAUUUAGUUGAUAUCUUACCUUAUGGUAAACACAAAUUCAUCUAUUGAUUAGACUCUAAUACAUAUACCUAGAGUUUAAUUUCGGCUAAUCCUAACGCAUAUAAUUAGGAUUUGAUCCGCACCUCGCCACAUGGUGGAUAUAAAUUCACCUUAUGGUGAACCCAAAUGAAAUUAAAUUGGACUCUAAUAUAUACACUUAGAGUUUAAUUUAAACUGUAUGUCUACUAAUCCUAACAUAUAUAACUAGGAUUUGGUUGAUAUUUUAUCUCAUGGUGAACCCAAAUUAGACUCUAAUACAUACACUUAGAGUUUAAUUUAAAUUACAUUUGACUAAUCCUAAUUAGGAUUUAGUUGGUAUUUCACCUCAUGGUGAAUCCAAAUUGGACUCUAAUACAUACACUUAGAGUUUAAUUUAAAUUACAUUUGACUAAUCCUAAUAUAUAUAAUUAGGAUUUAGUUGGUAUUUCACCUCAUGGUGAAUCCAAAUUGGACUCUAAUACAUACACUUAGAGUUUAAUUUAAAUCAAAUUUUGACUAAUCCUAAUAUAUAUAAUUAGGAUUUAGUUAAUAUUUCACCUUAUGGUGAACUCAAAGUGAGACAUAAUUAAGCUCUAACAUAUGAGCAUAGAGCUUAAUUGCAUUGGACUUUGAGAUAUUAAAUUGAAGUCUAAUCCUAACACAUACAUUUAGGAUGAAGGCUUAAAUUGAAUAUCAAAUCAAAUCCCAUUGGACUUUAUCAUAUAUAUUUAAAGUUCAAUUAACUAAAUCAAACUCUAAUCCAUUUAAUUAGAGUUUAAUUUGAAUCCGAUUAAGUCCCAAUGCAUAUACAUGGAAUCCUUCAUCUUAGGGUGAAUAAUGUUGAGCACUGAACAUAUGGAGCCCAAUCAAAUCAAUUUGAUUAUAUACUUUGAUAUCUUGGUUCAGAAUCAAAUUCAAUCAACCGCCGUACUGAAUUAUGUUAUAAAAUUCAUCUUUUAUUCAAUCACAGCAUUACAAAGGUCUCUUAAUCGAAGGUGCCCUAACACUUUGUAGGGGUAAUUAACAAUAGACGCUUGCGUUUAUUGGAAGCCAUGAAUCCACAAAACCUGAUUCCCAUACAUAUUCAAAUAUUAAUCUGAAUCAUGAAUACUACCCCACGGUAAAAAUCAAAAUAAGAUCAACCGUGCGAGGUACGUCAUUCGUGGUCGCAGACAAAGACAUUGAUUUGCUAGGGAUUCAAUUAAAGAUGUACACCGCAGUCAAAAGAGUAUCUCCCAAAAAACUUAUGGGAAGAUAAGGCUAUGCCAUCAUCGACCUAACUAUGUUUAAUAGAGUACGGUUCCUUCGCUCUAUAUCACCAUUUUUAUUAUAGAGUACCAGGAAUAAUGAGCUGUCUGCUGAUGUCCUUUUGCUCACAAUAAGUCUUGAACUAAUCAGACAAGUACUCACGACCUCAAUCAAUGCAAAGCACCUUUACAUUUCUUUCUAUUUGAUUCUUAGCUUCCGCAACAAAGCAUUUGAAGCAAUUUAAAGCUUCAGAUCGGCGAGAAAGCAAAUACACAUAGUUAUAACUGCAAUAAUCAUCAAUAAAGGUGAGAAAAUAGCACACACCAUGCCAGGCUCUCACAUUUAUUCGCCCACAAAUAUCUGAGUAAAUUAGCUCCAAAGGAUAAGAGGCACGAGUAGCCAUACCAAAAGGCUUUCUACAUGCCUUCCUAGCCAGACAAGGCUCGCAUACAGAUAGGCCAAUUUUGGCGAGAGACCCUUAAAAGCCCUUUUCGAACUAAUCUAUUCAUUCUUUCUUGACCUAUAUGAUCUAAUCUGGCAUGCCAUUUAACGAAUGCAUUAUAGAGAUUACAAGAAGAAGAAGCAAAUGCAAACAAAUCAUCCUUCAAAUCUAAUUUAAAGAAACCAUCAACUAAUGUACCAUAUCCAAAUAAAGUAUCAUGAAAGAAAAUGUCUAGGCAGUCUCUGUCAAAAUGGCUUUGCAUAGCUAACUCUACCAUAGGGAGCUUGAUUUUGACUCUUCUACACUCCAUUGUUGUGACGCUUCUUACACUUGGGUGUGAUUCCACCGCGCUUCUCAGAGUGUGCAACAAGAGCGACAAAAUGGUUCGCUUCCAAGCGCUCUACCUCGAGCUCAAAAUGGUGCGAGAUGUCAUUAAACAUUUUAAUACUCUCGCUGUGCAUCAUCAAUAGCUUCAUCUGGGAUCAUUUAGGAUCCAGCAAUGAACGAAUCACCACGAGAACUUGUUGCUCAUUGUUUAGCACGUUUCCAAUAGCCUAAAGAUCCCGAAUCAAGCGCUCAUCACACGAAAGUGCUCAGCCAUUGAAUGUUUCGGAUUUUUAGUGUAUUGUUGAAACUUUAAAUUUAAGGCACAUAGUUUUGUAGCUGAAGUUUGCCCAAAAGCAAUCUUUAAAUUGUCCCACAUGUCAUUAGCAGUUUGAAGAUCUCAAACUGUCCAAUGAGAUCAUCUUGCAUGGCACACAAUGUAAUAUACCAAGCAAUUUGAUCCUCUUUGUACCACUUGUUAUAGAUCUUUUUUUCAUAUUCAGAAGUUGUGCCUUUGGCAGGCAUGACUCUUUUGACAAAGAGAAUUUCAAGAACCCCUUAUUCAUUAAGCAAGUUUUUCAUUUUCCUAUACCAAAUGUCAUAAUUCUAGCUCAUCAUCCCUAGUAAAAUCAACAGAUUGAAAUACUAUCCUCGACACAAUAGGAUCGAAAACUUCGCUAUGCUCAUAAUCAUCACUCAGUGUCUGUUCAAAAUAUUAUAAUCUUAUUAAUUUUUCUAUUAAUUUUAGAACUUAUCUAAAAGUUAGAACUCAUCCAUUUUAAAAGAACACACUUUUUUAAAAAAGAAAUAUAUCUUGAGAACUUAUCUUGAUAAUAUCAUCACACAGAUGAAAAAAAAUAAGUACUUAUACCAAAAUUUAAUUUGAAAAACAUCGACACGGUACACAACACAUUUUUUACAUGACCUUAGUUAUUAUAUCAUUUUUGUAGAAUAAAACCUACUACAUCACUAUACAGAUGUACAUCUGAAAAAAAAUAUACUACAAAAUGCUGCACAGAUCAAACCCAUUUUUUAAAAAUUAAAUUUCAUUGAAAAAUACCAUAAGAACACAAGUACUUAUUUGCCAAAAAAAAUACCACAACAAUCAUGCGAUCAUACCGACCGUCCAUAGAGUAAGUGGCAAAUGGCUUGGUGGUUGGUACCCGAGACCCAAGUUCGAGUCCUAGUUGAUUCACAUUUUCAACUAAGUUUAUUUUUAAAUAAAAUAAACGAAGUGGGUAGCGUGCUACCUAUCUCUCAAAAACAAUCAUGCGAUCAUAAUAUGUUACACAAAUAUUAACUUUUGCACCCACAUAGGAUAAGCAACAUAUGCACGCUACACAAGCAUUAAAAUAUUAUACCACAGGAAAUAAAAAAAAGGUUUUGCCUACUUGUGUUGCUGCUGUGUAUAUCAUAUAUAUAUAUAUAUAUAUAUAUAUAUAUAUAUAUAUAUAGAGUGAGGCUACUAUACUAUCGGAAGCACGGAGCCUUCCGUGCUUCCAGCUCGUUUUCCGAUGUUGCGACUUUUCGAAUCGUCGAUCGGCCUCCGUUAAACUUCGAAUUCUAGGAGUAUUUGGAGUACAUAAAGAAAAGUCAAUUUUAUUAAUUUUUCGGAUAUUCAUUUGGCCUUAGUUGAACCGAAGGGGCUUCAAAAAUAAUGCUAAAAAUAAAAAAUCUUAACAAAAUAUAGAUAAUAUGACAUUAAUUUUAAAAUAAGAUCAUUGAUCUUGUUUUAUAUAGAGUAUAAAGAAUUUUCUAUCAAUUUCACGUAUUGAAUAUUCUACAUCAAUAAACUUGCAAACGUCCUCACUGUACGGCCCAUUGAAAUUUUGUGAUUUCUUGAGCCUAUUAAUCACUAGAGGCAAAAUGAUAUCGAAAAAAUAAAAUUUAUUUUCUAGCACUCCAAAAUGCUCUGAAUCAAGCUUUAAACGAGUCGAUCGACUCGAUUCGAAAGUCCCACAUCAACAACAAGCUGGAAGCACGGAAGGCUCCGUGCUUCCAAACCAUAGUUAGCCUCAACUCUAUAUAUAAUAUAUAUAUAUAAUAUAUAUAUAUAUAUAUAUAUAUAAUGGUAUAAUAUAUAUAAUAAUAUAAUAUAUAUAUAUAUAAUACUAUAUGAAUAUAAUAUUUACCGUACAAGAAUAAAAAAUUUUUACGCAUGCAGCAAGAAAUUUUUUUACAAAAAAAUUAAAAAAAUAAUAAAGCUGGGGGUCGGCCGUCACCGCAAGGCCAGGGCCGGCAAUGUGCUCGCGUGCGGAGCAUGGGUCAAUCCGCACACCAGCAAGCGAAGUACGCCAGAGGCCGCGAGACCGUCGUGCUCGCUGCGUACAAGCGGGACCAGGCCCAAGACAGCCUACCGAACCCUGUGGGCCGUACCCCUGCAUCCCGGCGGCAAAAAUUACUAGAAUGCAACGAGGUAUAUUGGUGACUGGCGUAAACAAACGCAAUCAAAUGUCUAUCCUUUAGAGUAUAUGCUCCCCAUCAUGAUUAUAAAAAAAAUAUUUUGUAUUGUACUUUUGUUUUCGAAAAGAAUAAAUGUGAUUGCUUAGUUAUUGAUGAGCCGGGUGGCAAGUGUGACAGUGUAGAAUUCCUCCACCCGGCGAGGCAGUUUGGGCCUGCAAGCCCGCCCGUAGUGCCCGGGACUUCCCGCGCACAUGGUGGGUUGGACCAGGCCCGCAAUCCGGUGCGCGGUGAGCGAGUUCACAUCCACGCCCGCGUCCGUAACGGGCCAAGCCCGUGCGCUUGCUCUUGCGGCGGGCUGAGCCAGGCCCUCAAGACCGCUAACCCACCCGCGCAAGUCCGUCCCUACACGCGAGCGGCAGGCCGGGCCGACGUUGACACCUUAGGCACACAGGUCAGCGGCCAGGCUAGCCUUGCGUCCAUGCAGAGCGCUAGGGUCCAUGCCUGCGUGCCUGUAAAGGGUCGGGCCAGCUAAACGCUCGUUUGCAAUCCCUCAUUUUCUUUUUUUUUUUAGGCGAAAUCAAAAAAAAUAUACAACUUACCUUUAAAAAAAUUACGCAUGACCGACCGUCCCUAGAGCAAGUGGCAAAGGGCUUCGUGGUUGGUACCCGAGACCCAAGUUCAAAUCCUAGUUGAUUCACAUUUAUAGCUAAGUUUAUUUCGAAAUGAAAUAAACGAAGCGGGUAGCGUGCUACCUAUCUCUCAAAAAAAAAAAAAAAAUCGCAUGUCUCGUGAUCAAUUCAAAAGAAAAAAUUAAAACUAAUUUAGUUUUUUUUUAAUCGAUUUCACAUAAAAAACGAAAAAAAAAUGUAGAACAAAUCUUUAUAAAAAUUGAUCGAUAAAACAUGCGAUCUAAAUACACGCAUCACACGCAUGAUCAUAAGGUGAAAACAGGCAAAUAGUUCUGAUAACAAUUGUUGGAAUUAAAUGGUAGCAGAAAGUUACAGACUAGAUAGCCAACGUCUUCAAGAACCGGAAUCAGAUCGGAUUGUUUGUUUUAUUAGCUUGCUUGGAUCGUCCUUGUCGCUUUUGGAUCUUGCAUGUAUUUUACUUUCUCCCACGCCUACAUCUUGCAUCACGGUUCGAAUACGUCGAAUACGGAUCAAAUGGAAGUUGGAUGUGACAUAUGUAAAUCGAAAAGGACUACCAGAGUCCUCUUCUAUAACCACACUUUAAAACCUCAGGAACGUAGGUGGAAAUUCCAGAGAGAAAGAAGAGAGAGAAGAAAGACGAAAUCUUAAAUUCUCUUAAGAUGGAUCAUACAAAAGAAAAAGGGACAUCUUUAUAGAAUAACGAAAACCCCUAAAAUAUUCUGAAUCUUACAUAGAGAUUAGGGUAAAAAUUAGGAUUAGAAUACCUCUUAAGAUUAAGAAGAUAUGUUUAUUAACUGAUAAAAAAUAUAUAAUUUAUUUUUAUCCUAAACUAAUUAGGAUAAAUUUCAAUCCACAUCUUAUAUGAAUCAGGUUAAACAUGACCCGCCAAUAUGGACACACCAUAUGGCAACAAAUAGAAUAAAGGGUAAACUUCAAAUACCCACUGUGAUUUCACACUUUCUCACUUUAAUACCCUAUAGUUUAAAGUGUAUCAAUUUAGCCACUGUGGUUUCGCACUUUCUUACUUUAAUACCCUGUGGUUUAAAGUGUAUUAAGUUAAUACCAUGUGGUUUCAUUUUUGUAUCAAGUUAGUACCCUAUGAUUUUAUUUUUCUCUUUUUAUUAUCCAUUUCACUAAUUUUUUUCAUUAAAUCAGUAACAAAGUUAAAACUAAAUGGCACUAAAGUGAAUAUUCGAUAAACGUAUGUAGGGUAUCUAAGGUUUUUUAUAUAUAAUUUAACGAAAUAUUAACGGAGGAAAAAAAAAAUCUGUGACAGUUAAAAUUAAUUAAAGGAUACUAAAGUAAAUAUUCGAUAAAUCUAGAUAGGGUAUUUGAAGUUUAUUGUAUAUAAUUUAACGAAAUAUUAACAGAGCCAACAAAAAGAGAAAAAUAAAACCAUAAAGUACUAAAUUGAUACACUUUAAACCACAGGGUACUAAAGUGAGAAAGUGUGAAACCAUAAGGUACUAAAUUGAUACAUUUUAAAUCAUAGGAUAUUAAAGUGAAAAAGUAUGAAAACACAGGGAUAGUAUUUGAAAUUUUUUCUAGAAUAAAUGUUCUAACGACCAUUCUGGUAUACGCAAAAUAAUUAAAGCCGUAAUUCAGUUUUGAGCAAAAGAAAAUUAAGUUUACAAUAAAAAAAAGAUUGUAAUUACUCACUACUCCAACCCCUUAUCAAAGGACACCUAAACUUAUUUUCAUUUUUAGUAAACAAAAAAAAAAAAAGAGUUACGGGAAGAGCAACGCAUUAUGGAUUAAUUAUAGGCUUAGUAUAUCUCUUCGAUUUUAGAAAUUUUUUUUUAAAAACAAACUGGACUGAGUGGAAAAACAAAAGUGAAGAAGCUAAUCAUAUCCAAUUUAUAUUGGUUGGGUUCAGUUGGUUUUCGAUAGAGAAUUUCAUUCAUGCACAUAUAGCGAAUUAUUUAUAAAACUAAAAAGUACUGAAACAAAUUUGUUCAAUUAAGUAAAUAAUGCUCACCCCUAUAAGAAGGCGCGACAUAGCGAAUUAUCCAUAAAACUGAAAAGUACCGAAACAAGUUUGUUCAAUUAGGUGCUUCAGUUCAGGCUAAAUAAUGCUCACCCCUGGAAAAAGGCGGCAGGCGCCAAUCGUGGGCUCACGAUCGCCGAGACCGGCACAGUCUUUUGUAGUGCGAGCCCGAAGGUCUCGUCCAUGUUCAUCUUAACGCCGUCGGGAAGGCUCCAGUCAAAUGCGUGAAUCAAGCUACCCAGCAUGUACUCUACCAGCACCACUCCCAUGCGCGCGCCUGCGCAUAUCCUUCGGCCGGACCCGAAAGGAAUGAGCUUGAAAUCGUUCCCCCUCGGGUCGAUUUUCGACCCCUGGGGAGUCAUGAACCUAUCGGGAUUGAACUCGAGCGGAUCGUCCCAAACGUUCGGGUCCCUCCCGAUAGCCCAUAUGUUGACUAGGAGCCUGGUGUUCUUCGGGAUGUAGUAGCCGUCGACCUCGCAUGCAUGGGUGCAGAUGCGGGGGAGGUUGAGAGGAGUGGAAGGGUGCUUCCGAAAGGCCUCCUUGCAUAUGGCUCGGAGGUAGGGGAGGUUCGGUAUGUCGGAUUCUUCGAGCCGACGGGUCCGGCCGAUCACCCGGUCCAUUUCUGCAUGGGCUUGCUUGAGGAUGGCUGGAUUUAGAAGCAUUUCUGCUAUGGCCCAUUCGAUCGUGCUGGAGGAUGUGUCAGUUCCGGCGGACAGUAAAUUCUGCAGGACAUUGGGAGGACAGAAAGGGGAAGCUCAAUUAAUUAAUAAAGUUGUAACAGAUUCAAGGAUACAGUUUAAUUUCUUGGGUCCCUUGGGAGAUGGUUUUAGGAGUGCAGCUGAUAUACUUUUGGAAAUACGGAGCGCUCCAUACUUUUAAAUUAUUUUCGAUAUGGGAAGUUUCGAAUUAACAAUCAGUUCCAUUAGACUUGAUCUAGAGUAUUUUAAGUAUCUAGAAAAUAAAUUUUGUGAUUUUUUGAUAUCAUUUGCCUAGUGAUCGAAGUGGCCCAAAAUCAAUGACUGAAAAUAAAAAUCUCACAAAAUAUGAUGAUAUAAUAUUAAAAUUUUAGAUCAAAAAUAUUGAUCUUAUUUUAUAUAGUAUAAAAAAUUUUCUAUCAAAAUUUUACGUGAUUUGGAUAUUUCUACACCGUUAAAUUUGCAAACGGCUCAUCACGAUCAUUAAAAUUAUUAGUUUUGAGCCCCUUUGAUCACUAGGCAAAUGAUAUCGAAAAAUUAUAAAAUUUAUUUUCUAGGUACUUCAAAUACUCUCUAGAUCAAGUUUAACGGAGCCGAUCGUCAAUUCGAAAGUCCCAACAUCGAAAACGACUUGGAAUGCACGAAAUACUCCGUACUUCUAGAAGCAUACCGGCUCACUCUGGUUUUAGUUAGCUUGCACACUAUUACAUUUAAAAAAUAAAAAUAAUAAUAACAUCAAGAAUUAUUUUUUUAUAUUUUUAUUAAAAGCAUCUAGUCAUUAGUGCCUAUGCAUUUUCGGCUUUUGGAUGAAGAUUUAUGGGAGUUAGGAUAAUAGCCCUCUUCUAUGGUUGGUGGAAUAUAUAGCAUGAUGAUCUAAACACUAAGGGCUUGUUUGGUUCAUCCAUUUUGUCUAUGGAAUGGGAAUCGAUUUGAUCAAAUCCGGUUAAUUUUGUUUGGUUCGCAUGAAUCGGUUUGGAAUUUCUAUUCCAGACUGGAAUGGAAAUGGUUCAUUAGCCUUCAACUUGAUUCCGGUCUUCUAGCCCGGAUUGAGAUUUCAUUCCGGAAGCCCACUAAGUUCUCGAAGCCCAUGUGACCAUCUCACCCUCCUUCUCUUCACCCCUUUCUCAUCAAAAAAAAAAAAACACCUAUCCUCUCUCAAAACCCUAUACCUAACCCACAUAAAUAAAAGUUUUUAAAAAUAAAUUUGAUAUUUUUUUUGAAAAACUUAUUAGAGAAUAGUAUUAUAUUUUUCAUAAAUUUUAAAUAAUAUAAAUUUAUAUUUGAGAGUAAAAUUAGUAUUAUAGUAUUCUAUAAUUUUUUUAGUUUCUACAAACCAAACAAUAAAAUGUGAAUAACUCAUUCCAAUUCCCAAUCCACAAAUAAACCAAACGUCUUGGGGGAGUGGGCCAUUCCAAUUACCAUUCCAAUUCAUUCCCAUUCAAUUAUCCCUUCCAAUUCCACCCUUGAACCAAACAAGCCCUAAAAUUGGUCAAACGAUAGAUCUUAACGGUAGAAUAAGCUGGAAAUAUGAUUUUUAAUUAAAUUUAACUUAUUUUUUAUUAUGUUUGAUUCGAAGUCGGAAUCAGUAUCGGAAUCGAAAUGAGAAUAAGCUAGAAACGGAAUCGGAAUGGUUCAUUAUCUCAUUCUGUUUGGUUCGCCAUCGUAAUCGGAAUCGAAAUAAAAUAUUCUCAUUAUCGGUGUUUGGUUCAAAUAAAUAUCAGAAACGUAAUCAAAUUAGUAUAUCAAUUUUAUCUUUAUAAUAUAUUAGUUUAAAUUCAAACCAAAAAUUAAAUAUUAAAAAUUUAUGUCAAAAUUUUAAAAUAAUGUCAAAUUUUAAAUAUAUUUUUUAAAAAAUUAAAAUUUAAAAUUGAACGGAUAAUUCAAAUUAUAAAACUAAAAUUUGAUUUAUUCAAAUUUAAAUUUUAAAAUUAUAAAUAAAUUUCAAUUUGAAUCCAUAAAUUUAAUUUAAAUUUUAAAUAAAUUUGAAUAAAACUUUAGAUUUUAAAUUAAAUUUAAAUUUAAAUUCAAAUUUAUAAAUUAGAUUUGAAAUUCUUAAUUGAAUUUUAAUUUUUAAUUUAACUUCAAAUUAAAAUUAAAAUUUAUAAAUAUAAUUUUUAAACUUAAACUUAUAUUUUAAUUUAAAAUAAGUUUAAAAAGUUAAAUUUAAUCCGAACAAAUUCAUUCUGCCUGGAUUCAAUUUUCAAUUCGGCCUCCUAAGCCGGAUUGGAAAAAUGGGUAAUUGGGAGAAUUCUCAUUCACCCGGGAAUCGGAAUCGGAAUGGGAAUCCCACGUACCAAACACCACAAACGGAUUUAUCCAUUCCGAUUCCAACUAAUUAAAUUUUUUUCAUUAUAACUAAAUAAUUCUAUAAGACUCAAUUUUGUUGUCGGAAUAAAAUAAAUAGAGGAAUGCUUCAAUACACCAUAAAUAUUAAAAUUUAAUCUCUUAAUUAGUAAAGGGUAUAGUUGGGAUUUACAUGAAGUAACAUGUUGAACAGAUUACCGAUUUGAAUUAGUUAACAUGACAAUAUUGGAAAAAAAAAAAAAGCCUUUUCACCCGAAUUGUCUAGUUAAUAGAUGAUCCAAAUUCUAAAACAGGCAGGAUCACCAUCUUUUCUUAUAAUAGAAUUGUGUAGUUACAAUAACUUACAAUAAUUGGUUAUGACAACUCGUUAUAACUACACUGAAGUUACUAAAAGCUAACCAAUGCUGACAUCAUCCAUUAUCCAAGUCUGGCAGACUUGAUAUUUUAAUCAGGUGACUGCUUAUCUUAAAUAUGCCCGCGCAAACGAAACGAUACAAAAAGUUAUAAAGUGCUACCAUUAGCGAGAAAUCGCUAAUGGAAGAAGGAAUGGCAAAUUUCCGAUUUCGAAAAUUUGACUAAAAAAGAUAGAUAAAACCCUCGGAUAAAAGAUAUGAUAAAACCCUCGGAUAAAAGAUAUGAGGAAUUCCCUCAAGGAAUUCCAGUAAGUAAAGUAGAAUUUUUCCUAAAAAAAUUCUACUAAUAAAAUACUAAAGGAUCGUGGGGAUCACCGGAAUACUUCGUAUCGGUCUUCUUAUCUAGGUUGCUUCAUCCUCUAACCAGAAACUAUUCACUCCUCAUGUAUAUACCAAAUUUGUCAGUAUCUUUUAAAUAUUAAAUAUUAAAUAACUUAAUUACUUUGAUAACUUACAAAAUUAGAUGAUACCCAAUUUGUUAAAUAUCUAGCUCAAAAAAAUAUUGAAUUUAAAUUUAAUUUUUGAAAUUGGUAUUGUAAUGUAAAAUUUUAAUUUUGAAAUUUAUAUUAAAAUUUUAAAUUUGAAUCUAAAUUGAACUUUUAAUCUUAAAGACAAAUUUUAAUUUUUGAUUUAAAUUGAAAUUUUGAAUUGAACUAAAAGUUUUAUUUUAAAUCUAUGUUUUAUAUUUAAAAAAUUGAAGUUGAUAUAUAAAGUUUUAAAUAUUGUUUUGAAUUUAAAUUUACAGUUUUGUUGUAAUUUGAAAUUCAACUAUUGUUGUAGGUAUUUAAGAAAGUCACAAUAUUCUUAGUUGAAUAAAACCGGUUUUGUGGACCAAACUAUUUUACAAAGACUAAAAUAUCAUUUAAAUAGGUACCUGGUGAAUGGUACCUAUGCUUUAAUAGUAGGUCACCUCUAGAAUCAUAUUAAAUCUAAACCAUCUAUUAAGAAAAAUAAAUAGUCAAGAUUUAUAUGAUCUAUUGAAAUAUUCCUCAAAUAGAUAUCCACUAAUAACUUAUUCUCAGUACAUGAAGAUUUUCUUGUGUGAGUAAAAGUUAGGAGUGUGAUUUUGCUUUCUGAAAUAUCUUAAUAUCAUAAUUUGAUAUGACAGCAUAUUUUAUCUAUGACCUGAUUUAUUCUAUUCUAUUUCGAACAAUAAUUUGGAAGGUUAAAUAUUGUAAUCAUUAUGUACAUUGGACCAGACUCCUCACCAAGCAAAUACUAGAUUUUUUUUAGUAAAUCAAAGAAAUAUUUCAAAUAAAAUAUUCAUACUUCCAAUCAGGCUUAUGUAUCAUAAAAACUUUUAUAAGACUCGUCUAUUAGUAUCGGACACGUGUCCAAUAUGGACACUCUUUGAACACGCAUUCAAUGCUGAUCUAUAACACAUACAAUAUAUAUAUAUAUANUAUAAGACUCGUCUAUUAGUAUCGGACACGUGUCCAAUAUGGACACUCUUUGAACACGCAUUCAAUGCUGAUCUAUAACACAUACAAUAUAUAUAAAUAUAUAUAUAUAUAUAUAUAUAUAUAUAUUACUUUUUUUUAUGCAUAUAUGAUGUGAGAUGAUAAAUAUUUUUGUAUUUUGACGAAUGCAUUGAAAGUUUUUUGAAAAAUAUAAAUAAAUUAUAUAUGGUGCAGAAUUUUUUUUAAAAUAUAUGAAUUUUCAAUAAAAACAUUACUAACUUUUAUUCAUACAAAAAAUACAACAAUAUUUUAUCAAAAUUAAUAUUUUAUAUAUAAUAAAUAUAUAUUGUUGUAUUAAUAUAUUAUUUUGUUAACGGUGUUCAUGUUGUGCUCUUGUUCUAAUAUUUUUUAAAAUUAUCAAGUUUUCGUGUUUGAGUCGUGUUGUAUUUCAUAUUCUGUAUUAGUAUCCGUAACGUCUAGAUCAGGGCCCAAAUGUAUAAAUCACAAACAAAUUCGACAUGUGGCAAAACUCUUUGGUUUUGCAACAGUUAACAAUAAAGAAUUUGCCAAGAACGAAACAAAAAUUUUGCGCCGGCAUCGCACAGCAGUACUCACCGCUGUUUCGAGAAUCGUAUCAAGUACAUGUUAUCCCACAAUUAAUAGGAUAGUUGUGUACUAAUUAAUAAGAUGGAUUUUUGAAAAAUUUUAAGUCCGGUUUAGGUGAAAAUUUUAUGAACAUGACAACUUUGAAGGUUAAUUUUCAAUCGUUCAUCACUUCUUAAAUAAUACUAAUUAGUCACCUAAUUAAAUUGGAAAAAAAAAAAAAUUUCCUGUUGGGGGCCUACUCAGGGUGCAACUCAGAAUUAGAUUUUAAAUUAAUAAGCGCCGUGCAUGGCAAGAGUUCUAACCAGAAGUAGGGCUUUGAAGUGGAUAUCACUAAGCUUCUCCCCUUCCAAGCUAUCCCGGCUGGCCACGACCUGGUCCAGCAAGUCCGGCCGGCCCUUGCGCUCCGCGGCGGUCGCCUCGUGCUCCCUCAUCACCCUGCUCAGCACGACGUCGACCCUACGGUGCAGCUCCUUCAUCCGCCGUUCAAUCCCCUGCAGGUCCAUCCAUGCCACGGCUGGCACGUAGUCCCCGACGUUCGGCAGCCCCGCCAGCGUCAUCAGCUCCACCAUCAUGUCCUUGAACUCGCUCGACUCCGCGCCUACAGCCUCAAACACCCGCCGGCUCAGAAUCACCUGCUAACAUCAUUCACUAUCAGUUUAAGCGUUAAGAAUAUGAUUGUUAAAUAUAAAAAUAUAUAAAUACCGUUUUCUAACGAUUUAAACUUUUAGAAUACAACGGUUGUUUCAUAAGGUAUCAGAACAGGAAAUCCUGAAUUCGAAUUAUGCCGGGCUCCUGGCAUUCUUAAUUUCCUCCCAUUUAACACGUUAGGAAUUUUACAAAAAGUUUCGAGUCUAGAUGUGAGAUUAUUCUCUAACAGCUUAAACGUUUAAAGUACAACGAUUGUUUCACAAUAAUAAAUCGCCGAGAGGGGUUUCCGAACUUUAAAUUUCAUUACGGUACAUUUACAUUCUAGACCUAUCAAAGUAUUUUUGGUGUUCAAUAUAAUAUCAGAAUGUAUUAAAACAUUAGUUCCCUAUCAUCUUAACCUUUUAGCAUAAUAUCAAAGUGAAAGGAAGUUUCUGAUCGAAAUUCCAUCGAGCUCCCUUGUUGGCUGCCCCAAAUCCUAGAAUUGCAGAGGAUUAGAAUUCUAAUUUUUCUAAAUUAAAAUAUUUGUUAUCUAAGAAUUCAAUUGAUUUGGGAGGAUUUGAUAGGAUUUUUCAUAAUAUAUAAAUGACUCUCUUCUAGACCCCAUAAUUUGAGGCCGGAUUUUAUGAAAAUUUAUUUACUAUUAGUUAUACUUUAAUAAUAACAAAAAAAUAUUCAUCCUCAAAUUAGUAAAACGAAAAGAAAAUAAUCGUAUUGAAAUAAAUUCUCAUAAUUUAACAAACAAUAAGAAGGAGGGUUAAUUUAAUUCCAGAAAUUUACAUAUUCAGGCUAUCUUUAUUUCUUGAGUUCAAAAGAAAAUUAAGAGUAAAUAUAAAUAUAUAUUAGAGUCUGGUUAUAUAUAUAUAUUGCUCACGGAAGUAUCACGGGUGCGCUUUCAAUUCUUUGAUUAUUUUUAGCACGUAGAUUAAUAUUAUUUUUUGAGCAGGACCAGUAAAUUCUAAAGAAGAUGACUAUAAUCUCGAUCAUAUAAUUCUUAAUUUAAGAUUUAGAAAGUCAAUCGAAAACGCUGAUUUUUCCAUGCGUACGAAAAUAUAGUAGCUUGCUCUACGCAACUAGAACCGCCGUAAGGUUUAUCAGCUGGAAAGCAAGCAUUUUAAUUCAGAUCAGUAACCGGCCGGCUGUUUAAUUCACAUCACCUGCCCGAUCAUAUUGGCCAUGGCGUACGACAGCAUCUCCGCGACCUCCACCGGCCGGCCCCGCUGCGCGAAGUCGCACAUGGCCAGCAGCAUGUGCCCGACCUCGGCCCGCCGCACUCCGGCCCACCCCUCCAGCGCCUUCGCCCCCAGCAUGCCCAAAUUGCACAACCGACGCAGCAGCUUCCACCGGGGCCCGUACUCGGCGAACACGAGGUCCUGCGCGCCGUAGGCGAUGCGCGUCGGGGCCGCGUCGAUGGGCCGGUUGGCGAAGUGGGCGUCGAGCGUCUUCAGAAAGACGCGGGCCGCGUCGGGGCUCGACGCCACCACCACGCCGUGCUGGCCCAGCUUGAGGUGCAUGACGGGGCCGUGCCGCUGCGCCAUGCGCGCCAGGGCCACGUGUGGGGCGCGCCCCAGCAGCGGGAGCGCGCCCACCACGGGGAAUCCCCGGGGCCCGGGCGGCAGCGGCGCCGGGCUCAGAUUCUUGCGAGGAAGGAGGCGCACGGUGAGGCGGCGCAGGCCGUAGUAGAGAAUGAGCCACAGCAACAGCUCGCGUAGGAGGAUGAUAACGUCCAUGAUGCUUCUGGUUCUGGUUGUGAUUCUGGUUUUGGUUUUGGUUUUGGUUUUGGUUUUGAUUUUGGUUUUGCUACGGAGGGUUGGGGGCGAAGAGCUGAGCUUCAGGGUGGUUAUAUAAUUUGUAUGUAAGGACGUGGCACCAUUGUUCGGAAUUAUUGCAUGCACAUGCAUGUUGUCCCACAACAUGAGCAUGCAAUGCAUUGUAGUACAAGCCCGAAAAAGUCUAAAAAUGCACCGGGUAUAUUAUUGAUGGUUGUUCUUCAACCAGUAAAAUUAUUCUUUUCGAAUUUAUCCAUCCUACUAUAAUUAUUAAAAAAGUAUUUUUAUUAUAUUUUUUUCCAAGAAGAGAUGUGAUUUAUUGGUUAUUGAUGAUGCGGUAAAAGUGUUAUAUGAUAGACUUUCUUCAGUAGUCCAUCUUUUUUCCAUAUUGGAAAAAAAUUUUCUAUCACAUUUAUUUUAAAUUAUUUUUUAUUUAUUAUUGACUACUAUUCAAAAUUUUUAAAUUUAUUUAUAAAUUAUCAAAAUAUCUUUCUAAUCCAAAAAAUUUUAGAAUAUUUGAAGGAAUUUGUGAAGAUUAAGAAGGUCAUUUUGGUCAAUCAAGAAUAUAUUAGAUAUUUUUGUAAUUUCAGAAGAUAUCUGAGAUAUUAUUCCUUUUUAUUUUAUAUAAAAAAUUAUAAUCAAAUAUUUUUAUAUUUUAUAUUAGCACAAAAAAAUAUCGUUUUAAACCAUCAUUUUAAUAUAAACCUUGCGUGUCGGAGAUGCGCGUCCUUGUUGGACACAUGUCCGAUGUGGACAUCUUGGACGAGCGUUUAAUGCCGAUCCAUAACAGAUACAAUUAAAAAAAAUAUAUACAUAUUUUUAGUUUAUUUUUUCUAUACAUAUAUAAUGUAAGAUGAUAAAUAUUUUAGCUUUUCGAUGAAUGCAUAUAUAUUUUUUUAACAAUAUAAAUAAAUUAUGUAUGGUGAAGAAUUUUUUUUCUUAAAAUAUAUGAACUAUCAAUAAAAAUUUUACUAACUUUCAUUUGUAUGACAAAUAUAAUAAUAUUUUAUCAAAAUUAAUAUUUUAUAUAUAAUAAAAAUAUAUUAUUAUAUUAAAAAUAUUAUAUUUUAUUAGCAGUGUCUAUGCCGUAUUCAUGUCUUAAUUUUUUGAAAGUUAUCAAGUCGUGGUGUCCGAAAGGUGUCGUGUCCCGUAUUUCGUGUCAGUGUCCGUGACACCUAGCUCUUUACUAUCUCAUAAAAUCACAUUAGCCUAAUAUAAUUCAUUCUGAUAUAUCUUAUGUAUUAUACUUUAUCCGAAAAAAAGUUUGUUCAUUCAUUCCACAUCACUAAAUGAUGUUAAAUGUAUCACAACCCAUCUAAACAUUUGCUCGCUUUUGGACAGUCAUUUGAAUUUUAAAAAUUAUAUAUUUACCAGGGAAAUUUUUAAAUGUUUAAAAUUAAUCAUCUAUAUUUAUAGUCAAUUAAUUUGAAGUAAUUAAUAUUAGCGAAAUGAUACGUUCCAUAAAAAAAAAAAGCACUUCUUAUACAUGAAAAGGCUUAUCCUUCUAUAUUGUAUUUUAGUUUGAUUUUUAUCCAUUAUGUUACACAUCUCUUUGGACAAAAAAAAAAUAUUGAACUAUUAUUAUUUUCUCAAUUUUUUACUUCAUGCUUGAGAUAUAUUUUUAUUUGCUAUCAUGUUCUAGUUUUUUUUUUCCCUUAAUUAAUGGCAUUAGGACACUAUCGAUUUCUCGCUAAUCUUUAUAUUAUUAUCAAGAAAUAUACUGUUUUAGACAAAAAACCAACAACUUUAUUAAAAGACUGAUUAAAUUAUAAAAAAAUAAAAUCCUUUAAGAUAAAAUCAUUGAAUGCUUUUAUUGAGUUAUUUUCAAGUAUUCUUAUUCCUAUCUUUUUGAUGUUCUAUUGUCUCUUUCUGUUUCAAAUGGACUUAAUUAAUGCAUCAUUAACUAUUUUCAACCAGCACUUUUAUUUAAAAUUAUAGAUUUAUUAUUUAUAGUUUAAUAAUUUUUUUUGAAAAAGGUACAGUGUAAAUAGACAAAAAACUCUAGUGUACAAUAUACCCAGUACUAGUAGAAGAUAAUUAAGCUUUGUACCAAAAAAAAAAACAAUAAUAAAAAAUAAAAAUAUUGAGGGAUGAGACUGCUGUGUAUGGCUUAUGUGUUGCACCGGGUGCAGGCAGAAUUUUACGUGUCUUAGUAGAUAUCGUCGGAAGGGCUGUGGAGAUUUUGUACGGCCGCAGCAGUGGAAGCCAACUGUCAAUUUGGUUGGACCUAAAAUUGCAGCAAGGACUGACUGCCUAAAAUUUUUUAACAUUCUUAAGGCUUAUAACACAAAAAAGCUUUUUAAUUCUACCACUAUACUAAGUCCAAAUUUUGGUUUCUUAUACUGUAUUUAGUUCGAAUAUAAAUAAGAACUGCUUAUUUUAAAGAUAAGUAUAAGUUCAGAUAUAAAUAAAAAUUAAAUUAAAUUAAAUUUGCGGUUGGAUGAAACUUGGAUUGUUCUUGCGAAUAAGAGCAAUAGUAUUUGCAUGAUUAGUUUAGAACAAGAGGAAUAAGAGUUAUAAUUUCAAAUUAAAAAUAUUUUAUCUAAUUAAUUAACAACAAAAUAUUAAUUAGAAAUAUUUUAAUAAGUUAAUAAAUUUAUUUUUUUUUGAGAGAUAGGUAGCACGCUACCCGCUUCGUUUAUUUCAUUUAGAAAUAAACUUAGCUAGAGGACAAUAAAAAUAUAUUAAUUAAUUAAUUAAAUAUAAAGUAUAAUUUAAUUUUUUAAUUUGUUAGUAAAUUAUUUUAGUUAUAUAACUAGUAGAAAGAUUAAUUAGAUUAAUAAAAAUAUAAAUGGUUGAUUAAUAUAAAUAUUAGCUUAUGAAUAAACACAUAAAAUUAUUAAUAAUUAAUUAGCUAAUUAAUCAGAAAUAAUAAAUUAAUUAAUUACUUUAUAAAUUAUAAUGAAUAAUAAUUUAAAUAUAUUAAUUAGAUUAAUUAAUAAUUUAAUAAUAUAAUUAAAAUUAAAUAUAGAUUUUAAUUAAUGUUGUUCCCACUUGAGUUGGCGUUAAGGAGUAGAUCUAGGGCUAGAAACAUAAAAGCACCAAAGAGUUGGCGUUUUUAGAUGUAUUCUAGCUCAACUCUCUCUCUCUUUAGAUAUAUAUAUAUUGGCGUUUUUAGAUGUAUUCUAGCUCAACUCUCUCUCUCUUUAGAGAUAUAUAUAUAUAUAUAUAUAUAGAGUAGGUCUAGAAUACUUUUACAAGUAUCACUCAAGUGAUACUUGUGUGUUUUUAGCCCUUGGAUGGAAAGAUGUGAGGUUGAGAUGAUGAGGGUAGGUGGUGGUAGGUGGUGGUAGGUGGAAUAGUGUUUGAUCCAAAGGCUAUUCGUAAUAAAAAAGUAGAUCCAUUGGCUAAAAACGUGAUAGCAACAUGGGGAUGAUACUUGUAAAAGUAUCCUAGAUCAACUCUAUAUAUAUAUAUAUAUAUAUAUGUAGGGUCCGGCUAUUAUACUCUUAUGAGUACGAUCGUCCUCGUACUCAUAAGUUGUUUUCGAUGAUAGAGUUUUCGAAUCAACGAUCCAUACCGUUAAACGUUAUUUAGAGCAUUUAAAACAUCUAGAAAUCAAAUUUGUAAUGUUUCGACAUCAUUUACCUUACAAUUAAAAGCUCACAAAAUGGACAAUUUUUAACGGCCGAUAUGAAAUAUUUGCUAGUUUAACGGUAUAAAAGAAUCGAAAUUAGUUGAAUUUUUGAUAGAAAAUUCUAUUCACUACAUAGAUAAAGAUCAAUAACUCUUAUCUUAAAUUGAAGGAUCCGAUCAUCCAUUUUUUAGACGUCAUUUGAUUUUGACCGUUCAUUUUGUACCCGUUUGAUGAACUUUAUUAUGAUUUCGCAAAAUUACGAAAUUUUUUUUUUACAAGUUUCAAAUAUUCUAGAUCAUAUUUAACGAAGUGGAUCGUCGAUUCGAAAGCUCCAUCAUUGAAAACAACUUAUGAGUACGAAGUGCUCUAUACUCAUAACAGUAUAGUUGCCCUAACCUAUAUAUAUAUAGGGUUAAUUUCAUACAGGUCCCUACAAACAUGGUGAAUAGCAGAAAUAUCCUUGCAAAAUUUAACUUUCAUAAGUUAUCACUACAAAAGUUCAAUGUAUUCAGAUAUGUCCCUACUGUUAAUACACGUUAGAGAAAUCUAGUUAACCAUAGUUAAAAUACUUAAUCAUGAUUAAUUAAUAAGGUAAAAUGAUAUUUUUAUCCUUCUUCCUCUUCCCCUUCCUCUUCUUCUUCCACUGCUUCUUCUUCCUCUUCCUCUUCCUCUUCCUCUCCUACUUCUUCUUCUUCCUCUUUUUCUUCGUAUCCUCAUUUUUCUCCUCAUUUUCUCCUCCUCCUCCUCCUCCUUCUUCCUCUUUUAAUUCUACCACUAUAUUAAGUCCAAAUUUUGAUUUGUUUUUGCUGCAUUUGAUUCGAGUAUAAAUAAGAACUAUUUAUUUUAGAGAUAAAUAUAAGUUCAGAUAUAAAAAAAAAUUAAAUUAAAUUUACGUUUGGAAGAAAAUUUAGUUGUUCUUGCGAAUAAGAUAAAUAGUAUUUGCAUGAUUACUUUGGAACAAGAGCAAUAAGAGUUAUAAUUAAUUUUAAAUUAAAAAUAUUUUAUCUAAUUAAUUAACAAUAAAAUAUUAAUUAAAAAUAUUUUAAUAAGUUAAUAAAUUUAUUGGCUAUGAAUAUUAUAUAAGACAAUAAAAAUAUAUUAAUUAAUUAAUUAAAUAUAAAGUAUGAUUUAAUUUUUUAAUUAGUUAGUAUAUUAUUUUAGUUAUAUAACUAGUAGAAAGAUUAAUUAAAUUAAUAAAAAUAUAAAUGGUUGAUUAAUAUAAAUAUAGUUUAUGGAUAAACACAUAAAAUUAUUAAUAAUUAAUUAGUUAAAUAUAAAGUAUAAUUUAAUACUUUAUAAUUAAUAAUGAAUAAUUUUAAUAUAUUAAUUAGAUUAAUUAAUAAUUUAAUAAUAUAAUUAAAUUAAAUAUAAGGAUUUUUAAUGGUUGGUUUCACUUGAGUUGCAGUACAAGGAGUAGAUCUGAGGGCUAAAAACAUAAAGAGCACAAGAGUUUGGUGUUUUAGAAUAUUUACUCAACUCUCUCUUUAUAUAUAUAUAGAGAGAGAAGAGAGUAGGGCUACUAUAUCUAUGAGUGUUAGAACCCUUAUACUCAUAAGUUGUUUUCGAUGUUGGGAGAUUUUCGAAUCGACGAUCCACCAACGUUAAAUAUUGAUUAGGUAUUGAAACUUCUACGACAAAUAAAUUUCAUGAAAUUUUCGAAAUCUUAUAAAGUCCAUUCAGGAGCGAUAUUAAAUGAACCGCACACGUUUCUAAAAUGAAAUGAAUCUUAAAAAUGAUACAUGAUCGGAUCUUCAAUGAAGAGAUCGGAUGUAUAUUGAUUUUUAUUUAGGUAGUGAUAGAAUUUUCUAUAAAAAGUUCCAACCAUUUCGAUUCUUUUUCACAUUAAAGUAAGCAAUAUUUCUACGGCAGUUUAAAAAUUGUCAAAUGUUGUGACAUUUGAUCGUUAAGAUAAAUGAGGAUCGAAAAAUUAUUAAAAUUAACAUGCUACGAAGUUUUAAAAUGCUCUAAAUAAUGUUUAACCUGGUAUGGAUCAUCGAUUCGGAGCUCUAUCAUCGAAAACAACUUAGAGUGAUGAGGAUGAUUGUAACGCAUAAGAGUAUAUAUGGCCGGACUCUAUAUAUAUGUAUUAAUAUAUAGAUAUAUAUAGAGAUGAGAGACAGACCAUGAGGUAUCAGAAGACGGAGAUGCGAGGCCGACGAGCGAGACGAGGCGGGAGGGAUGGGGAGAGUGAGAGAGCUGGUAGGACAGAAAUGGAGUGAGAGAGAGAGAGGCUUUAGGGCUACAUACUUCUUAUGCGUAUAGAGCACACUUCAUACUAUAAAUUGUUUCAAUGUAUUUGAAUGGAGCUUCCGAAUCGACGAUCCACACUGUUAAAGUUAUCUAGAGCAUUUAGAAGACGUUAGAAAUCGAAUUUAUAAUUUUUCACAUAAUUUAUCUUACGAUUCAAAUAUGUCAUAAAAUUGACAAUUUUAACGGCGGUAUGGAAUAUUUGUUUUUAUGUUUUACGUCUCUGUAAAAAGAAUCGAAAUUCAGUUGAAUCUUUGAUUAGAAAAUUUCUAUUCGACUACAUAGUUUAAGAUAAUAACUCGAUCUUAAUUGAAGAUAUCGAUCAUCUAUUUUAAGACGUCGUAAUCGAGUUUUGAUAGUUAUUUAUUACAACGCUUGAUUAACUUUUUAUAUUUUCGAAAAAUUACGAAAUUUAUUUUCUAGAAGUUUUAAAUACUCAUAGAUUAUAUUUACGGGAUGAUGAUCGUCGUAUCGGAAGCUUCCAUAUUGAAAGAACAAUUUGAUGGGAGUCGAAGUGCCCUUAUACUCAUAAGAAGUAUAGUAGCUAGUCCUAUAUAUAUAGAAGAGAGAGAGAUGAGGAGUAGAUUUGGUGCCUAUUUAGGAGCACGGAGGCCUGUGCUCAUAAGCCGUUUUGAUGGUGGAGCUUCGAAUCGACCGAUUUGGCUCCUGUCAGGACUUGAUCUAGCAUAUUUGAAGUAUCUAGAAAAUAAAUUUUGCAAUUUUUCGAUAUCAUUUACCUAGCGAUCGAAAGGGUUCAAAAUCAACAGCUGGAAAUAAAAAUCUCACAAAAAGUGAUGAUAUAACACUAAAAUUUUCGAUCAGAGAUAUUGAUCUUGCAGUAAAUAGUAUAAAAAAUUUACUAUCAAAAUUUCAUCUGAUUUGAAUACUUCUACACCGUUAAACUUGCAAACGAUAUACAUCAACCAUUAAAAAUUGUUGAUUUUGAACCCUUUCGAUCGCUAGGUAAAUAAUAUCGAAAAAUUACAAAAUUUAUUUUCUAAAUACUUUAAAUACGUUAGAUCAAGUCUAACAGAGCCAAUCGUCGAUUCAAAAGCUCCACCAUCGAAAACGGCUUAGAAGCACGGAUGUCACGCCCCGAGCCCGCCUAUUUGGUCGGUUUCGGGCACGCCAACAAACCGCCGAACGAACAGGGUUUUCCCUGUACCGCGGACAGAGUCUCCCCUGUACAUUCAAGGCGUCGCAAUCAAUACAAUGUACGAAGUUCCAACCAUGAAUACAUUUCAACCAAAGAUUGCAUAAGGAAGUAUCAAAAACAUAAUUCUACUUGCUAUUACAAGCAUUCAUCUCACAUAUUACAUUUUACAUUACAAAUUACAUUCUUUUACAUUCAACUUCCAAGUACAAUCCAAUUAUUACAAAUUUACUACAAGUUUGAUAUAUCUUGUUCUUCAAUUUUUCUCUACCCCUAGGCUAUGCCGACUCGGGGUACCACUAUCUCUGGUCUCUGUGGUAGGACGCUAUCUAUGAAGCUACGCCCUUGCCUCGCGCCGCCGCGCCGCUCACGUGUGAACCUGUAACACCCCAAAACAACGUGGGGUGAGAACCAACUUCAUGAUUCCCAGUGCGUACGGCCAUCCAAGGGAAGAGCUCGACUAUCAAGUCCAAAGGAGGCAAACAACAUGUUAGACCAAUAGAUAGAUAUGAAAUCGUAAAUUAUGCAACUAACAUUACCAUGCUUUUGCCUCACAACAUGCAAUAUGUAAAUUAUGCAAUUCAUAUAGUAGAUUAAUUGCUUCUACACUUUAUUCUUAUCCAUUCUUUACUCUUAGCCAUUCUUUCCUUUACUAGCUACUCUUUAGCAUUUGCCUUUCUUUAUUCUUUAUUACUUGCCAUUCCUUAGCAUUAGCAUUUUCUUAUUCUUUAUUCUUUAUUCUUUAUACUUUACUAAGGGUACUCACACCUUAGUAAUAUUAUACACAUUAGCCUUUCUUUCCUAAGGUUACUUUACCUUAGCCAAUUAUGCCGUCCGACUCGGUUUUGAGUCAAUCAACUGCGGAUAGUCCGCGCACUAUCCGGCUCGAGGUGAAGGAACUCUCACAUGCACCUCAGCCUUCAAUCACAAACCAUAUCGUCCAACGGGUCGCCCAGAGUUGCGUACACCCGUGGUCAGGGAUCCCCCGGUAGGAAAGGAACAUGCCGCAUACACCCGCAGCCAAGAUCCCCGAUAGGGAGAGGAACAUGCCACAUGCACCCUAGCGCUCAUGAUUCUUGCUCAAUAACAAGCCUCGAAGUUCUUCCGGUGGGAAAGGAACAUGCCACAUGCACUCGCGGCCAAGAACUAUCAAGCUUGUAUGCUGCACUAGCAGCCGCUGCACUAGCAGCUGUUGCACUAGCAGCAGAAAUUUCGGAAUCCACUUUACAUAACUCAAGGAUUGGUCUUACCCUAUGUUAUCGACCUAUCUAGGUCCAAGCCUUUACUCAACCUAAGUUAAUACAUUAGGUUCAAUGUCAUUAUCUUCUUAGUCUAGGUUCAUUGACUCUAGGUUCAAUAUUCUUAAUCACCUAGGUUCAUUUGACUCUAGGUUCAAUGCCACUCAUGUUCUUGUUUUCCUAGUUGUCCAUACCUAGGAAUUAUACUUGACAUGCCACUCGUGAAUAACCUAUGUUCAAUGACACUAUGUUCAUUAUUAUUCUUGUUUAACCUAUGUCCUUGAUACUAGGUUCAAUGCCACUCGAUCAAUAGGUGUAUUUAUGUCCACUUACACAUAUUCUUUACUCAACAUUCUUAUCUUAUCAUUAUGCAUUAUCACUAGCAUGCUUUCUACUUUACAUUAACAUGCAAUGCCACUUAUCUCAUGCCUUUAGCUAACAUCAUUCAAUGCAUUUUCUUAGCAUUCUUAUAUUGUCAUUAUGCAUAAUCUAGUUCAUGCGUCUAGUUCAUAUGUUUAUUUAACAUACAUCCAUACAUGCCUUUAACAUUUAACUCAUGCUUCAUCUAACAUUUCUACAACAUGUCACAAGCAUUAGCUUAAUGUUCUUACAUUAUGUCAAUAUGCAUUCUCUUAGCAUUUCAUAUUAUGACAACAUGCAUUUCUUAGCAUACAAUUUAUAUGAUCAUUACUUGGCACAUAUUACAUGCAUUACUGAACAUCUAUCGCAUACACUCACAUUUAGCAUUCUUACUUAGCAUUUUUAUCAUGCAUUGUUACUUAGCAUUUUUACUAUCACCAUGCAUCAAUAGUGAAAUACACUAUACUUUGGCAUGAAGGCGACCUAGUCGCUUCGGUAAGCACAACCCACUCUUAACGCGUUCCGAUUGCUUGUAGUCACUUGCAAUCGGCCUCCCGCGGCACCCGUGACCCGGUUUGGCCCGAACUCUUGCGCGACCACCCGAACGGUCACCAAUCCGCGAUCCGUCUACUCUGGAGUUUAAUCCUCGAUACCACGAUGCUCCAGAUCCGUUUUCAUGAUUUUUGGACGUUUAUCCCGCAUGCUGCGGCUAUCUGUACCAAAACAGACCGUUUCGUCAAUAACUUCGCGUACACUCGUCGGAUUGUCGAACCGAGAGCACCAACGCGUUCGUUAUACCCCCAAUUAGGUUUCUAUAAGGUCAAUUUAUCUCGAAAAUACCCGGAGGCAAAAGCCCCAAAUUUAGUGCCCUAACAAUGCCAUAAUGAGAUUUCUUGGGAUUGAUCUUGUUGCUAAGCAUAAUCAAGCUUAGAACUACCCAAGAAGCUCUCUAAUAUCAUCUCCAACCUAAUUGGACCAACCCUAAGGCAUCUAACACAAACCCUAGGUGAUCACCAUGAGAGCACCCUAAGCUUCCAUAGAUUUUCAUGGAGCUCAAGCCUCUAGAGAGGUUCUAGUCUUACAAGAAGUCCAAAACACUAAAUCUUAGGGUAUAAAUCGAAACCCUAGAAGUAUUCUUGCGAAAUAACUCACCUUAGCCUAAGCUCUUCCAAGUCCACCAUGAAGGAGAGCUUCUUGAUCCUCCAAAACCCUCAAAAUCCACCUUCAAGACCUUCUUCUCCUUCUCUUCAAGCUUUGGUGGAGAGCUUUUGAAGAGAGAAAGGGAGAAGAAAUAAGGGGGAGAGGUGUUUGCUGCUGUGAAGGGGUGUUUGGGAACAUAUGGGGUGUGCCAUAAUUGCAAAUAAGCCCCCCAACUAUUUUUAUUUACAGCAGACUAAUUUUUGCUGUCGGGUCCACAGCGUACCGGUACACGGGCUGGUGUCACCGGUACACGACUCGCGCAACAGCCAAACCCGAGAGCCAUCUUCUCGAAUUUUACACUGCUUACUGGUACACGAAAUCCUGUCACCGGGACACUGCCUUUUUUUCAGGACUUAGCCAAUUUUUCAGCAUUUUUAUCAAUUUUCGUCUGUUUUCGCUCGUUUUCGCUCGUUUUCGCUCGUUUGACCUCCGAUUCAUUUCAAAUCGAACCGAGGCCCUCCAAACAUGUUUUCAAGCAUGUUUUCAUCAUCUUUUCAUCCACGCUAAUGCUAGAUUUAGUCCAUGGUCCAACAUAGCCUUUCGGGUCCCGUUUUCGCGCCCUAUGCGCACCGAAGCACCCGAAUGCUCCCGAACUUCGCCGGAAUGAUUCCAAUGGCUUUCUAAGCUAACAUACAUCGUAACUUCAUGAAUUAGAAGUUCGGUAUAUUACAAUGGAGGUCUCCGUGCUCCUAAUAGCACACAAGACCUACUCUCUCUCUCUCUCUCUCUCUUUCUCUCUCUCUCUCUCUCUCUCUCUAUAUAUAUAUAUAUAGUGUAGAGCUACUAUGCUAUCAGAAGCAUAGAGGAUUUGAUGCUUCCAACUUUUUGACCAUUGGAUCAAAAAUUAUACAAUUGGGAUGAUUGCAGUCCGCCUAGGGUUGAGUAGUACCCAUAGGGUUGAGUGGUCCCCACAGGUUAAUAGUAUUAAUUCAAAUGUUAGAAAUGAUUAAAGGGGUUAAUCUAAGGGCGAAAAAAUUGGAAGGACCAAAUUCUCUAUGCUUCCGGUAGUAUAGUAGCUCUACUAUAUAUAUAGUUGAGCUAUAAUGCUAUAAGUAGCAAAUGGGCUCAGUUGCCACUCGCUUAUUUUUGAUGAUAGAGUAUCCAAAUCGACGAUUAGUACCAUUAAGCAUGAUCUAUACCACUUGAAGUAUUUAGAAACUAAAUUUCAUACUUUUUCGAUAUUGUUCUCUUGUCUUAAGUGGACACAAAAAUAAACGGCUGAGAAUGAAUAUCCUUUAAAAAUUGAUGAUAGAUAUCUUAUAAUUAAGAUUGAGAGUAUAUAUAUUGUCUUAAAUAGUUUAAAAAAUUUUCUAACCAAAAUUCGAUUGAUUUGGACAUCUUUACACUGUUAAACGUGAAAACGCCUUAUAUCGACCAAUAAAAUUAUAAAUUUUAAAACAUUCUGAUCAUUAGGUCAAUGAUGUGGAAAAGAGCUAAAAUUUGAUUUUUAAAUACUUCAAGUAGUAUAAAUUAUGGUCAACGGUGCCGAUUGUCGAUUUGGUGGCUCCAUCAUCAAAAACAAAUGGGUGAUAACGGAGUCUGUUUGCCAUCGAUAGUAGAGCUACUAUGCUAUCGAAAGCAUAGAGGAUUUGGUGCUUCCAACUGUUUGGCUCUUAGAUCAGCCUCUUUAAUCAUUUAUAACCUUUGAAGAGGAUCACUCAAUUCUAGGGGUACUACCCAACCCUAGAGAGGAUCGCAAUCAUCCCAACCAUAUAAUUCUUAAUCCAAAAAUCAAAAAACGGAAGCAUCAAAUUCUCUAUACUUCUGAUAGAAUAGUACCUCUACACUGUAUAUAUAUAUAUAUAUAUAUACAGAGAGAGAGAGAGAGAGUCCGACUACUAUACUCUUAUGAGUACGAUCGCCCUCGCACUCAUAAGUUAUUUUCGAUGAUAGAGCUUCCAAAUCGAUGAUCAACACUGUUAAACGUUAUCUAGAGCAUUUAAUGUAAGGACUGAGAUUUUGACAGUGCAACUAAACUCUCUGUUGAUGAUGUUUAUGUGUGUAAUUUAAUUACAUAAGCACUCGUCAAAUUUCAGGCGAAAAUGAGCUAAAACGGAGAAGUUACGCGAUUAUUAGUUUUCACUUAAGUGAAUAGUAACUCCGGUUUUUCGGUGAAGCCACGGAGUAGAGUUGGCUUUCUAUGCGUACCGGACUCCGUUCAUAGCGAUCCAAUAGCUCGUUUCGACCGGUUCAGCUAUUUUGGAACUACUGGCGCUGACGGAUUUUGAGUUUGAUGCACGAAUUUCGAGAAAAUCCAAAAAUACAUGUUUUAUAUGUAUUUAUGUGUUAUUCCUUCUAUUGGAAAGAAAGUUUGGAUUUUGUCGUGAAUCCGUGAUCGAUCGUGGUGAAACAAAAUCGUAGUUUUGUUGUCUCCGAGGUGCUGAUCGCACUGGUGCAAUCCGUUCGCAAAUCUGACGGACGGAUCUGCGAAGAUCGCACGUUGAUCGAGGAGAGGUCGGUGUUGGAAAAUGGGUAAUUUCGCAAAAGAUGCGACAUUUUAUGUACCGAAUCGCAUGAGAUCAAACGUGGAGGUGUGUACACGCAAUUUACUCGCGCUGUGAAGGACUGGGUUGGAUACAACCAGUUCCGGAGGACUUUGGUGCAAAGUGGCAUAUGGUAUAUAAUAUGCCUUUAGGGUUUCUAUGCACGAAACCCUAGUUUCGGCCAACCUAGUCUUCCAGCUAUGCCCUAGGUAGCUUCAGCAGGCUCUUACCCUAGCCGUGCUCGCGCUCCGGCAGCCGGCGUGCGACUCCGGCCGCCGGAAAAGCCGGGUUUGCUCUUCCUCCACCUUCCUCUCCAUCUUGCUGCCUCUUUCCUGGCCGUGGACCACCCUGGGGACAUCCACUCGCGUCGGGCCCUCUCUUUUGGCCGCGCCCGACCUCCGUCAGCCUCCCCCGCCAGUCGCCGCCGGCCGCCUGCUGGGCUCCCUAUGGCCGAGCUGGGCCAGAUCGGGCCGAGCCCAGGCUGGCUCCCCUCUCGUGCGCUGCCGCUGCCUAGAUCGGGCCGGGCCGCCCUCCCCCGGAGCCCCGGCGACCUCCGCCGCCGGCCCCACCGUCAGCGCACGCCGCCGGAGCCGCCCAAGCUUCCUGCGGCUACCUGCGAUCACCCAGGCCGAGCCUGGGCGAUCUCUGCAUCCGCGCGCCGCAUCCGCCUCGAGGCAAGCCGCCCCGCCUCCCUUUGCUGUCGGCGACCUCACGCGCGUGUUCCCGGCGUCCUCGACCACCGCCGGUCGCCGCCUGAAGCUCCUGCAGCCGCCCAGACUUGGUGCGGGCCGAGGCUGAGCCUUCGUGGCCUCCGCGCGUCGCCACCGCCUAUGGUGGGGAGCACCACCUCCCCCUCGGCCUCCUCCGCCGGUUCGUCGCCGCCCCGACCUCCUCCGGCCGCCGCCGCGCCGCCGGGAAGAUCGAACCCGAGAAGGAGUGGGUGGAGUCGAUCUCCUCCGCCGCGCCACCGGUUGCCUCCCGCCGCCGGCCAGCACCAUCCCCGGACCUCUCGGACCGACUGCUUCCAUCUCCGGCCGGACCGCCCGCCUCCCGGCCGCCGGCGGCCAACCCUAGCUCCCCCCUCACUGUGA
rnacentral:lncRNA from 1 species